rnacentral:lncRNA from 1 species
CUUUUGACGACGAAGAGAGAUCCUUCAACAUCCUUAUGACUCCAUUGGCUGAGGUCGAUGUUGAACUCGUAGAAGGUGACAUGAGCGGCCGUGAUGAGGAUCUCCUCAAUGAAUGGAUCGAUUCGCUGAAGAACUGUCAGGUUUAGGAGUUUUGUGCUCUGCUGGUCCAGAUUAGCCAUUAAUUUUCCGUUCUGCGACAUUUUUCAUAGUCCUUUUGGGCUCUGCCCCGAGCACAAGCGCCAUGGUUUUUCUGUGAGCUCUCUCUUUUGUAAAUAAAGUGUUUGAUGAGAUAGCCGAGAGAGAGUGAAAGAGUUGAGACUCGAGAUUGAUCUUGCUUUAACUUCUUUCAAACAUUUGGGAAAUAGCAUUUAGACCCCAAAAUUAGAUUUAUUAUAAUCAUUUUUUACCCGUACACUAUUAAUCCCUUUUAUUUUUUAAAUUGUCAAUAUUAAUGUAUUAGAAUAAUGUUAGAAAUCCCAAUUAUUAUCUCAAUGUUUCAAUCAUAACUAAUGUGAUAACUCAUCGGUGACUGUAACAUUAACCUAAUUAUUAAUGUUUAUCAUGAAAUGAUGAGAUUAUUAUUCAAGAAAAACUUAGUAAACAUCAAUGACUAAUAUAAUAUGACAAUUACAGCUGAAUAUUAGUACAAUAAUUAGGAUCCCUAAAGUUAGUGAAUGUAUUAUAAUAUAUGUGUGUUACACUAUUUUAUGUCUCUCAAAUUCAAUUAAGUAAUUUCAGAGACCUAACCUUUUAUUACAUUAAAUUAAGAAUGUAUACAUGAACAAAAGAUGUGCAGUUUUUGUUUUAUUUUUCACUAUUAUUUGCCAUUCAUCUACGUACGUCACUUGAUUUUUUGCGAUUAAUAUGCUUAAAUGGAUCUCUUUGAUAUAAAUAAAAUAAACGAAAAGUCUAAGAGAAAAAAAAAAUGAGGACCGAAAUUAUUACACCUACAACAAAUUUGCCCAGAGAGCAAUAAAUCAAACUUGCUUAGGAAGUUCAACAAUGAUUAGUUAAUAACUAAAAGAGCCUUCACCUAACAUGUUAAAGCUUCCGUCAAGCACAAACCCAUUGAAAGCUGUUUAGGUCCGUUUUCGAUCAUCGGAAAUUUGACAAAAUCAUAAAAACCCUCAUCUUAGAAAUUCCAAGCAUCAGGCAAUAGUCCGACUUUAUUGAUAUUGAGAGUAACACAAUAAAAGUUUCGUACAGAUUUUGCAAACGAAAAGCACAUAAUACACUUAACUAGGUGGAAAAAUUAAAGUGUAUGUAUUACAAACUGCUAACAAUAUACAAUAGUAAAAAUCACUCUUAUGAACUCACAAAUACUAGGCACCAAUAAGAGUAUGAUACAGCCAUUCUAAAUGAAAGAGAAUACAACUGUUUUACAACUAUGUCACAUCAAGAGAUAUGUUAGCAGGAUUAAUCCAGAUACCUAGGGAUGGCAACUGGAUCGCUCUAUAAUGGAUAUCCACAAUAUCCAUCCAAUUGGAUCGGAUAAUAUCCAUCCAAAAAUUUUUAGAUUUUGAAAUGGAUAUUUUAAAAUUAUAUCCAAAUGGAUAUGGAUGGAUAUAGAUAAUUAUUUUUACCCAAUGGAUAUCUAUUUAACCCAACACAAGUUUAAAAAAUUUUAAUUUUAUAAAAUAAAAAAUAAAAAAUAUAAUAAACAAACAAUUGUAAAAAUAUUAUAUUAACUAGUGAAAAUUUUAAAUUCAUCUUAUAUUAAAAACUAAAGUUUUCAAAAUUAUCCUUUAAUUUUUUAACUUAUUUAAUAUUAUUAAAAAUUAUUAUUUUAUUUUAUUAAUUUAAUAUUAUAAAUGGACAUCCACCGGAAAGUCACCGGACCUCCUCCGGAAUUCACCGGAAAGUUGCCGGACCACCGUCGACUUCGCCGGAAUUCGCUGGAAAGUUGCCGGACCACCGCCACCAACCACCAGACCGCCAUUUUAUAUAUAUAUAUAUAUAUAUAUAUAUAUAUAUAUAUAUAUAUAUAUAUAUAUAUUAUUACUAAUAUAAAUAGUUUAAUAACCAAAUUUAAUAUUGGAAUUUUAAUUAUUUUAUAUUAUUAUUUUUAUAUAAUAAAAAUAAAAUAUCCAUAGAUAUUCAUGGGUCUCCAUAGUUAUAUGGAUAAAAUCUAUAUCCAUGUCCAAUAUUAAAUACUGGAUAUGGAUAUAGAUAUAUCCAUUAUCGAUAAUUAUGGAUUUGUGUUUGGAUGGAUAAUAUCCAUCCAUAAUUGAAUAUUUGCCAUCCCUACAUAUACCUUUGAACCCAAUUAACCAACUCGAGUCAGAAACCAGGGGCCCCCAACUGAACCUUACAAUCUUGAAGGAAGAAGGAGACUUGUGGUCCAGAUAGGAGACUUACUAGAUCUCCUGCAAAAGAGAAUAUCUAUUGCUUUGAACCUCCAUUGAAAUUUCUUUUUCUCUUUUUCUUGUUUUAACUUGGAACUUUCCAGCAUCAUCUAUUUGAUCUUUUUUGAAGGUAAAAUAGCAAUCUAUAGGUUGCCAACAUGUUAUUCUGCCAAACCCCACCCCCCGGGGGACAACAAAUAGUGCCUACUCAACUUAUGUUUUCCAAUGGACGACAAUAUGCAAAUCGACCCAGUAGCCACAUUUUUCCUCCCUUUCAACCACCGUUAGGCAACUUUUCUAACCUUCCUUCAUUGCCCACACGUACAGAACUAUAAUAAAAAGACUACAUUAUUAUUGGGGUAGAGAAAAUAUGCAGACUAUAUUAUUAUUACAUCACAUUUUACUAAUUAACUAGUGCACGACUUAUUUAGUGUCAAAUCAAGAACUAAUUAGAAAAGACAACUCUUGAUAAUACAGACCUUAACAAGCAAUAGCUAACAACAUCCCAUAUACUCUUAUUUUAGCCUUCACUAUCCUGGUAAAAACACAAAUAAGUCUUGCAAACGAACAUUUAUAAGUAAAUUCAACAUUAAUUAAGAUUAGGUAUCUACUGCACCUUCAAUCAAUGACUGGGUGAAUAGCAUGGUCAACCAUCUAGUUCCUGUAGCCUUCCAUGUACCUAUGUUAGUUACAUUUUAUAUAUUAAGCCAUGAAAAUGAAGAACUCUUCCAUUUCAAACAGUGUUAGAAGAUAUUUGCAAAGCCUAAAGAUAACAUACGAGGACCAAGAUAUACACAGAUAGUUUCUUUACGGGACUAAAGAGCUUUUUUAGAUGUUAAAACUGUUUCAAACUCUUUUUCUUGUUUGGUUUAACUAAGGAAGAGCUUGUGGAAGAUUAAAAAUGAUGUUUCCUGUUCUCUGUAGGAAGCUUUUAGGAGAUUUUUUGGGUUUUUUUGAAAGGUUGAAUUGUCAAAAAUACCUUGAUGUUAUUGUUUGCUAAAAGAUGUUAUGGACAACUAAACAACCAACAACAUUUUGUUAAAAGCUCUACUAGUGUAGGAUCUACUUAAAGAAGCUAUACCAAACAGAUUCUUAGACUAAAUAACUCGAUCUUAAGUUUGUAAAAUUGGGCUCAGAAUCUCCACUAACAACCCCGCUUCGGUGAGAAAGCCCAAGCCUGUUACUUUGUAUAACCUUAUUCUGUAUGUUUGAUUGCAGGAACUGGCCGAUCAUACCGACGAGGUGAGUGUGCAACAUGAGGUGCUUGACGGGAUGUUUACUUUCUAUGAUACAACUAAAGCUAGCCUCAACAUAUAUCAGGUGCCUGCUUGUUUUUACCUUCUAGAUACUAAUAUUGUUUAGACGUGUAAUCUCUCUCUCCAUUGAACGCUAGACGGCUCGUCUCAAGCCUUCUACGUACAUCAGAGUCCUUCUUUAGCUUUUUAUGUAUAAAGUUUUGAUCUUUUUCCUUCAUUUGCUUGAAGCUCAUUACUGCAGAUUUUUUUUACAGGUUGCUAGUGUAACAUUCGACUUGCUGUUGCUUCUAGUGUUGGGAUCGUAUUUAAUUGUGCUUUUCAGCUUUCUUGUCACAACAACUUGGGUAUUACUCUUUCUCCAUAUCAAGCUUGAAGUUCUAAAUUUCAGUUUUAUCUUUUAUUUGAUGUUUUAUAAUUUCAUUGCAAACAGAUUAGAAUAGAAACUUCAAAAGUUCCAACUGACUAGUCCCGUGUAACUUUUUCAGGGAAUAUUUUCUCUCAUAACAACUACGAAUGUGUUAUGGUUUAGCUCAGUGACACAAAGGAUAGAAAAUCUAAGAUGCGAAAAAUUUUUGUUGAGAUUCAUUUUUCAUCCUGAUGUUACAGCUGGCCUUUUUUUUUUUUUUUGGCAGAGAAUAAUGCUUGUGUGAUUUCUGAACUUGGUGAUUGUUGAAAUGAGCUGAAAAUGAGCUGGAAAUGUGUUUGGUUAAUGAGAAAGAGAGCAAGAAAAUGAAAGAAAUCUAUUUCACUUUUUAUUUAUCAGCAUGAUUACAUUCACAAUAAAUCUAAGCUGCUAUUUAUACUUAAAUGAAUACACACGAGAAUCUUCUUGCUAGAUACUUCUAGAAACUCUACACGCACACUCACAUUGAGCUAGUGGUUACUAAAACCGUUACAACGAUAUUGCCAGCUCAGCAUAACCAACUUAUAACUAACACACUCAGCUGCAGGGGAAACCAUCAAGCUUACUGUGCAUCCUCUGUACUCAAGCUUCUUUAAGCAUGCUCUGCAGAUCAUACUCAAGCUUUUUUUUUCAUAGAAGUUGCAAUCUUUACGUUAUAUACUAGUUUGACUAGGCUAUAUAAGGAAGCUAUAUGAAAUUAGAAAAAUAAGCUAUACUAGGAAAGAAUAAAUAUAUGUACAGAAAAUUAGGCUAUAAUCUCUGACUUUAAACAAAUUUAAUAUCAAUUUUCUUCUGGAAGUUGUCUCGCAUGGGGCGCAUCAGUAUUGUAACGUCUGAUGGGUCUUACAUUAUCCACAAAAAUAACUCGUCCAUCUAGUACCUGCAAGUACAUACUCUGAGAUGCUUAAACUCAACAAUAUAAGCAUGGAAAAUUAGAGAAAAAUGAUGCAAUUUUACCUUCCCAUUCAUGUCUGCCGAGGCUUUUUGGGCUUCCUCUUCUGUACUGAAAGUCACAUAUCCGUAACCUUUUGAUCUAUUCUUACCUUUAUCCAUUAUUAUUGUAGCUGCAAACAGAAAAGAAUCGGAUAUUACAAAAUAGUGAAGAGGGAAGAGGGGUUGAGACUUAAAACAGAAAUAGACCAAACCCUCAGUGACGUGGCCAAAUUGUGAAAAAGCAUCAGCUAACAUUUCUUUAGUGGUUGAGAAAGAUACGCCUGCAAAGGAUGCCAGUUAAUUUUAUCAUAAUUUUAGAUGGUAAGAUUGCAAAUUCUGCAGCCAAAGGUAGUACGGAACUGAAUGAAGGAAAUCAAAUAUGAAUAUGUUUUCAAUCUCAGAAUAUUAAGAGUAGCAUAAGUAACUUGUGAAACAGUUACAAGUUCAACGGAAUUAACUGAUGGCAUGGUUGAAUUUUGUAAAUAUUUGAUAUUUUGAACCGAACACGGCAAACAGAUGGAUCCAGAUAAUCAAGAAAAACAUCAAUUCCAUGCAACCAAAUUAGUGUGGGCAAUGCAAUUGAGCAACACUAUAAAAUUAUUCAAAGAAAUCUCUAGGUCAGUAUCCAAAUAUAUUUCUGAAAAUGUUUUUUUCUCAUUAGCGCCGCCAUUUUUGUAAUAGAGGGUAAAGAAAUAAGUAACAAAGUAAGAGGUGAGCAGAAGCGGCCCAAUUUAGCUAUAUGCCAUGCAUGCGAUCAAAAUUGAACGGUUAAAUGGCAGCCACUAUGUUACAUCUUGUGUAAGUAACAAACCGCCUACAUGGAUCGUUGGAUUUGGGAAUAUGAAAUCCAAUGGAUAAUAUUGAAUUUAACGAAAAAUAGAUUACAGGUUGCAUUAGUCCAAGUUUAUUUCAAACAAACCAGCUGACGAAAUAGCCGCUAAUCAAAUUUAAAAGGGAAAAAAAAAUCAAAUUAUAGGUUAUAGAUCUUAUUUCCAUCUUAAAUCUAUGUCUUUCGUGGUGACUCAAUUUGUAAACUAAUUUAUAAUUUGGAUCUAUAUUAGAGCUAAUGCUUCCCUAAAUAACUAAGAAAAUUUUCUUUUCAUUGAUUAAAUAUUUAUUUCCAAUAUCUUGUAUAUGUAGGAUUUGAAAAGAGGGAAAAUAGUAGGGAUGAUAAUGAGAGAAGAUAGAGAUGUCGAUUCUCAAAUCUAAUAUUAGUGCUAUACUUAUAUUCCUAUACUAAAUAAAUUAUCCAAGGUUCGUGCUUAACGAUACGUUGCAAAAUUUUAAUUUCUAUUUAAAGCUCUGUCUAAUAUGGCUUUUCAUAAAGCUUAGAGAAAAGUAGAGCUUUUACCAAAAAAAAAUUAAUUAGAAUUGUCAAUGAUAAAUUUUAAAAAGUACUUUAAUAAAUAAGCUUUUAAAGUUAUAUAUAUUAUGAAAGAAAUGAAAUAAGAUUAUAUAAUAAAUUAAGAGUAUCUUAGAUAAUUGAACUUUAAAAAAAAAACUCGCUAAGAGGUUUAAAAUUUGAGUUUUAAUAGUGGAUACAAAAUAGUUUAUUUAAUUCUCAAAAGCUCUACUCAAAAUAGUUUAUUUAAUUCUCAAAAAAUAUUUUUUUCAUUGAGUAAAUAAUACUAAACAUGCACUAAAGUGUUAGGACCAGAAGUUGUACAAAAAAUGAUGGCUACAACUUAAAUUAUGAAUGGAGUAAUCGGAGAAUAUUGAAACCCGUUUAAUUUGGAUCGUGCAUUGAGGGACGAAAGGAUAAAAAAUUUAAUUUUGAAAUUGCUGUUGGGUACGGUACAAUGACUUACCGUUGACAGCUUUUGCAACCGGAUUACAAUCGGUUAGUUCAAUAAUUUUAUAUCCCCAUUUAACCGCCACGUGCUGCUGUUACAUGGGUCAAUUAGUCAUGUCAUUACUGUUACUUACAGAUGCCGUAACAUAACCGGACCCUGGUUAAAUUCUGUUGUUUCCAAUAAUUUUAUGCUGUAUCUUCUUUAAUAAUAAAGAAAACUUGCAUUAAAAUUAAAAUUAGGGUAAUACCUGAUUUUAUAAAUAGAUUGCAAUGUAAUUUUGAAAAAUAAAACAAUAAUUUACAAAAUGUUUAUAACAUAAUUUUAAUUUUUUUUCAAAAAGGAAAAAGAACAAAAGUAAGAAAUAGAGAAUUAGGGCUACAAACUUUGUAUCUUAAACGGCCGUUAGAUUAUUUGUAAAUGAAAGCAACGGUCAGAUAUUGGUGGAUUAUGGAAACAUGUAAUCAUAAGGACUGUGAGUUUUUUUUGUUACAUUAAUAUAUUACAAUCAAAUUCUAUUAGUAUUUACAACUAGAAUUUCAUUUGACUAUCUUUGAUAAUUCUAAACUAGUACAACCCAAAUUCUUAUUCUCACAUAAUAUCAAAGAGAGAUAUAUAUUCUUCUCCUCUAUUAAUAAAGAGACAUUUUUAUUUCCUUUUAAUAGUUAGGACUCAGAACUCAUACACGCUAGUUUGAGAGUGUUGGGUGUGACAAUGAGCCAGGAGACCAUUGACAAGUACAAAAGAGUGGUAGAAAUUAAUUCAAUCCGCUACACACGCUAUUGCAACCAAAUUGAGGGCCCAUUUUUGUUUAUUUGGUUGAAAAAUAGUUUGCAUAAUUAAUUCAAACCGCUACACACGCUAUUGCAACCAAAUUGAGGGCCCAUUUUUGUUUAUUUCGUUGAAAAGCAGUUUGCACAAUUAAUUCAAACCGCUACACACGCUAUUGCAUCUUUUGAAAAAGAAAAACAGAAUAGUUUUCUAAAAUUAAUUCCGAGAAGAAGAUUAACUAAUAAUGAUGUUAGAAAUUUUAAUAUUUGAGUCUUAAUAUUAUGUAUCACUCAUUUAUUAAAUAAUAGAUUUCAUAAUUUAUAAAAUUACUUAACCACUUGAUAAAUGUUAUAUUUGUUGGGACUAAAUUGGGACUUAAAUGUUGGAAUAUCUAGUAUUGCAUUAAAAAAUAAAUAAAAACAUAACAAUUUAUCUUCACUUGACUAAUUGUUUUUACAUCACAACUAACCUUAAUUAUUUUGAAAGUUACAGUAUUAUUAAAUUGUCCUAACUGGUUAUCAAAAGUUGAAGCAUGUUAAAAUAAAAAAAAUUACCAAGAAACAUGUGCUUAAACAGAGGUUAAGGCUAUGAACAAUUAAGAAGAAACUCUUAAUUUGGUCCCAGUUAGUAUAAUAAUCAUCUAUUGAGCGGUAAAAUAUUAAUUUUAAUAGUGAUGAAAUCCAAUAUAUAAUAGAUUAAUAACACACAUAAAUUAAAACUUAACUGUCAGAAAUCAUAACAUUACUCUACUCUUCAGUAGAGUUCUCUUAACAGAUUAUGUGAGAUUGCCUACAUUAAAAAUAGGUUAAGACUGCUUGUUGAAAGCAAUAUUCGCUUUUUCAUUAUAUCCAUAACUUUGUUGGGUCCCUCUAUGGUGCCGUAAUUUUUUUUACGGUAUUAAUAGUGUAACAAAUUUGUACCAUUAGAUAUAAUCAACGGUACACAUUAUUUUUAAUAAUGAAAAUAUUUAAUUAUUUCACAAAUGUUAUAACCGGUUAACAAACCGGUUGCAAAACCUAUUUUAAAUUUAAAAGGAAAGAAAAUAGAGAUAUAAUAAAACUCAAUCUCCUUCUUUAUCUCAUAAAAUUCGUAAUCUGUUUAUCUCCUUUGUUGUUGUAUUGAAAUUGGAUUCCUCAAUGCUGUCUCAGUUCACAAAUGAUUAAUCGUGUCAAAUCGUAAGCUUGUUCUUAUCGUUCAACUUUUUCUCCAUUUAUUGCCACAUUUAUUUGAUAGGUAGGCUUUUAAAUUUAUUGCUCGAUGGUGACAUUAGACAAGGAAUCACAGAUUUGAUGUUCUUUGUUGUACUAAAUUCAUAUCAAAUCUUGCUUUGAUGCUAUAAUAUAUUUAGUUACUACCUUACAUUUUCUUUUUUCACAUUUGAAAACAAAUUCUUUUUAUUCAUAGGAUUACAUAAAGUGCGCAGCCCUGAAGUUUGAACUUCAAAGGAUAAAGUUGCAUUGCAGCAUGUUAAGCAGCAAAGCUUCUUCACUGCAUUAGAUAGAAGACGGUGAAUCAAGUGCAGCCAAGACUUGGCUGAGUCAGCAAUUAACCACCAAUCGUUUAAGAAAGAGGGGCAAAGCAAGUUGAGGCCCACUUAUUAAUCUUAGCCUCUGAUUCCAUUCUCCUUUUCUCCGUCCUGAUUUGAUUAUCUCCAGCAGUGACGCUAAAGGUUAAACUGGCAUGAUCUUGCCCACAUAUAAAUGUAUUUUUUUUUUUUAGGAUCUGAAGGGGCAAAUUUUUUUUUCAAGUUUGUUAUAUGAUCUUUUGUGAAGACCUGAAGAUACGAGAGUCAGAUUAAUAAUUUUGUCUCUCUUAGGCUUUAUGCAGUGGGAAUGAACUUUCUCUCUUUUAAUUCUCUGCCAUUUUCUCAAUGAAGGCAGCAAGAGAAUAUUCAGUCUUUCAAAGUCUCAACAUUCAUAAUUUGGCCAGUCUAGUUGUUUACCUUGCAUCUGCUGGAGUAUUAUAUCGCCAAGAGAUUUUUCCGUUGCACUUUACGAAUUUAUAUUAUUUUGAGGAGGGAAUUCAGCUAACUAUUAAUAUCAUACAAUUGAAAUUUAAAUGUCGGUCUUUAAAUUCUAAAGAUUAAAGACAAGCCUAAUAUGAAAAUACAGAUGUUAAAAUCUUCAUUUUUGUUUAUUGAUACUUUAUUUGUUAGUAUCAUAAUUUUAGAGAUAUAUUUGAUGUUACAUGAUUGACUAAAUAUUAACAUUAAAAUGCAGAUGGAAAGAAAAAAUGAUGGAGGGCUCCAUAAAAGCAUAAAAAGAAACGGAGAUGGUGAAGCAAACUUUCGAAAUUGCAACCAUGAGAAGGAAUUGACAAAGCUUAAUGAAAAAAUGGAUGGGAUGACAUUUAAUCUUGUCGCUGUCAGGCAUGAACUUGGUGAGCUGAAGAGGAACAAUUUAGAUACUUAUGCAUUGGUACAAAAAAUGUAUAGUGUAGUUGAAGCACUUGAACGUAAUAUAACUCAUAUGCAAUCACACGCAUGGAAGGAAAAGAUGAACUCUUCUAGUAAAGAUGUUCAAAAUAGUAAAAAUGAAUCAAGUGGUCAAAAUUUCGUGGAAAAGGGAGAUGAGUUUGGGGUGAAGAUCGCAGAGAUUAAGGACAAGAUUGAAGACGCAUGUGAUGAAAAUUUAUCAUUGAAAAACUUAUUUGUGUAUAGGAAACAAAAAGAGAACCAAAUCUUCCACAAUGUUGUUAAAAAGGUAUGAUAAUAAACUAUUAUUCUACAUUUUUUUUUCAAAAAUAUUUGUAUAGCACAUUCAUUAAACAAAAAAAUAAUAAUAAUAAAAUUCAUGUUCUUAUGCAUGUAGGAUAAAGCCAUGGAUGCAGUUGAUUUUGUGGAUUUGGUAUCAUCGGUGGAAGUAGAUGCAAUUGAGGAUAAAAAGGUGCGUCCUCGAAAGCCCAGUCGUUAUAAAAAAUCUCCUUAUGAAAAUUUUACAAAAAAAAAAGGCUAUCGCAAGAAGGAGUUCGAUUUAUCCAAACAUGGAGCUUCUUUUUCGGAGGAAGAAUGGUAUAUUUUACAGUAUAUUUUUCAUGAACAACUAGAUAAAAGGUAUGGAACUAUUUAAAUAUAAUCAUAUUUUAUAUGUUUGUAUUUUGAUGUUAUUAUUUGUUUUAAUUAACUAUUAAUGUGAGUGUAUAACUUAUGCAGAGAGAAAAUUGUAAUGACAAAACGACAUAUUGUUACCCGCUUCUUAAUGUCUUCUUUAGCUCCUAAUGUUUGGAUAUUUGAUGAGGUAUAUUGUGUUAGUGUGUGUGUCUAAUAUUCAGAGCGUAAUAAGAUUAUAUGUAUUUAAUUUAUAAUUUAUUUUUCAUUUGGUAGUGCAUGUUUUAAUAAUAAUGUUGUGAUGAUUUUAUUCAUAGAUCAUAAGUUGCUAUGCUGAGUAUUUAACUAGAAAGGAGAGUUUGAAGCAAGAUAAUGAGACUCGAAAUUGGUUUUUACCAACUCUUUUUGGGGUAUGUUAUAAAUUUUUGUUGUUACAAAUAUAUAAUAUGCUUUUACAAAAAAAUUAGAAUUUUUUUAAAAUUAUAUCUUACCAUCUUCAUAUAAUUAUUAAUUUAUGAAUGUUGUAGCAAAUAGUGGCGAAUGUGUCAGGUGUUUCAACUAUUGAUAGAUCAGAGAUUGAAAUUUCGGUUCGUAAACAUAACAUUUGUGAAUUUUACAUGGGUGCACUCAAAAGAUGUGAAAAGGUCAGGAAUAUUAUCAUAUGUUCAAAAAACAAAAAAAUUUAUUUACUCAAAUAUCAUAUGUUUUAUUAUUAUCAUUUGAAGGGAGUAAUGAUUAAUACAAAAUUAGUGUAUUGUUGCACAGAUAUAUGUUCCUCUUUAUGACGGGCUUGCAAAACAUUGGUAUCUUGUAAUAAUGAAUAUAAAAGAUAAGACUGCUGAGAUUUGGGAUUCUUUGCCUAAUUCUGAAAUAGAACCAAAUCAUCGUCAAGAAAUCGUUAAGCAAAAUGUAAGUUCAAAUUUUUUAUUUGUUUAUAUGAAAUUACUAGAUGCAAUAUAUAUUAACUAUCAUUAUUAUUAUGCAGUACAUGCAUUGGNNNNNNNNNNNNNNNNNNNNNNNNNNNNNNNNNNNNNNNNNNNNNNNNNNNNNNNNNNNNNNNNNNNNNNNNNNNNNNNNNNNNNNNNNNNNNNNNNNNNCCUAGUCUUGCUUCGUGAUAUAGCCUUUAACUUUCCUUCUGAUUGGGUAUUUCGUUGACUUUGACAUUUUAUAUCCAAAUAAUGUGCCAAUUCAACCAAAUGGAAAUGAUUGUGGCUUGUAUGUGAUGAAGUUUAUGGAGACUCCAUGUGAGAUGUUAUUCCCAACUUAUAAGGUAACUUAAUCAUACAAUUUAUAUUUCUUAGUUUGCACAAUACUUUAAUCAAUAUUAAAUUGUUAUUAAUUCUAUUAUAUGCAGUAUGAAUCGGAUGAAGAAAGAUUUCGUCUUGCGCUACUCCUUGUAAAUGGUGAUGCAAAUGAAGUAAGAGAUAGUGUUAUACAAAAAGCACUAUCAUUCCGUGGUCCUAAGACGAAUGUUAUUGCAACUAGUAAAGUUAGAACUAAAGUUGCUUCUCAAAAAAAACAUCGUUCAAUUAAUAAAGUUAGAACUGUAAUUGGUACUGGAGAAUAUUUGAAGAAACCAGGAAGAAAAUCCAAUUGAUCUGCCUAGUAGAGGUUUAAUAAAUUUGGUAUUGGACGUAAUUUGUAUUUUGUCACUUUUAAUUUUUUUGUCCCCUCAAUUGAAUUUUAUAUUCAAUGUAAAGUUUUUAUUUGGAUUACUUAAUUUUCUUUUUUAGUUUUUAAGUUUUUGGAUUACUCUUUAUGAAAAUUUUGUGUCUUGUUACUUUCAAUUUUUUUUGUCCCCUUUAAUUGACCUUUGUAUUCGAUGUAAAGUUUUUAUUUGGAUUACUCAUUAAGUUUUGUUAGCUUUUGAGUUUAUGGUCUCUUCCAAUUAAAAACUUUCAAAAAAUAAUAGCCUGCUUUUUUUUUUUUUGUGUGUGUUUUAAGUUCAGCCUACAAGUGAAUGACUGUAAGUCGUUAACUAAAAAUCUAAAAAUGUCAAAUGUCAAAUAUUCUUCCGCUUCUCAUCACCUUCUUUUCCAACCUAUAAUAUGCCAAACAAAAAUGCAUCAAUAAAAAUAAAUUUAGAUAACAGCUAAAAUAUUCAACCUUUGUAAGAAUUAUCCUAAUAUAAAUAUACCUCAUUAAGUACUGGACAUUUGCGUCUAUUGUGUCCAGGUAAUUUGCAAUACCCACAUUUUUUCAAAUUGACGCCUUUAUUAAAUCUUGCACUAGGAGCACCUUUCGUCUUCACACUUAAUGGAUCUUUUAUAAUAGCAACAUUUCUCUUCUCACUGGACCAUCUACCUCUUUUCUCUUCAAAAUUCCCACUCAACUCUAACAUUUCAGACUUAAGUUGUGUGAUAAGACCCUUUAAUUUCAAGUAUCCAGCAUCUGUCAUCGAGGCAUAGAAAAAUGUGUCUAGUUACAGAAGAAAUUUACAGAAUCAAAUUUUGACUUCGCUUCUUAAAGAUAUUCACGAUUUAGUGCACAAAGGUCACAACCGUCUAGAAACCACACAAGAUCCGAUGUUUCUGAAUUAACUGAUAUCAAUUAACAAGGAAUAAAAUUAAAAACUAUAUAUCUAUAGAAAGAUUUAUUUUUCAGGAGUUCAAAUAAUUUUACGGUUUUCUAUUUGAAGUUUUCUACAUGAAGAUAUGGCUUAAAGAAUGCUGACUGCUCAAAAUCACUGAAGCAACCAAGUCUAUGAUUAUCAGAAAACUUGCAUGAUUAAACUGUACUGAUCUAGAAUAUAUGAGAUUGCAUACUAUAUAUUUUUUGAUAGAUAAAUAUGUCUAGUUACAGAAGAAAUUUACAGAAUCAAUUUUCGACUUCGCUUCUUAAAGAUAUUCACGAUUUAGUGCACAAAGGUCACAACCGUCUAGAAACCACACAAGAUCCGAUGUUUCUGAAUUAACUGAUAUCAAUUAACAAGGAAUAAAAUUACAAACUAUAUAUCUAUAGAAAGAUUUAUUUUUCAGGAGUUCAAAUAAUUUUACGGUUUUCUAUUUGAAGUUGUCUACAUGAUGGCUGAUGUGUUUCAGCAGAUAUUACAAGAGGAAAUAUAUCUUCUCCCAGUGAUGGUUUUGAGAGAUCGUCCAACUCAUAGAAGCCUAAGUCGAUGCCUGUUCCCGAAGGCUGACGAAACUUCUGACCCAAUCCUUUCUUAAAGGGAAUUUUUGCCGGCAUAUAAGCUUCAGGAAACAGUGGAACAAACUUACAGUUGGGCUCUUCCUUGGCAAAGUAGAAAACAGUGAUGCUGCAGAUAAGAAAAGAAAAUAAAGAGAUAUGGCUUAAAGAAUGCUGACUGCUCAGAAUCACCAAAGCAACCAAGCCUCUGAUUAUCAGCCAAAUUCCAUGAUUUAACUGUAUUGAUCUAGAAUAUAUGACAUUACAUAAUAUAUAUGUUUGGAUAGAUGAAUGUAUCUAGUUGUGGAAGAAAUUUACAGAAUCAAGAUAGACUAAUAAUAACUUAAUAUUAACAAAAUUUUUAUUGUACAUGUUAUUUUAUCAAUUAUAUUUAUUGUAACACUUUAUUUGUAUCAUAUGAUUUUUAUUUGUUAUUUUUAUCCUAUUACUAUAUUUAUAUUUAUUUAGAUUGAUUUAGUCAAAAGGUAUAAUAGUCAUUUAGGAAAUUAAGAGGGUCUAUGUGACUAUUUAUGAAACUAAAGGAACAUGUAUAAUUAUUUUAGCAAAUCUUAGGGGUGUGGGUGGUUUUUUCCGAAAUUAAUAUUGAUUUAAAAUUAAAAAAUUAAUAUUUACCUGUAACCUGUAAGUUACCUGCUCUAUUUUAAUUAAUUAUCUAAUUAUCUAUUAUAUUAAAUGAAUGAUUCAGAUUAAAACUCUUAUAUCUAAGGGUCCACAUUAGUUCCACUAUCAAUACUGUAAAAAUAAAUACAGCAUCAUAAAGAAAUCCAACUUUGAAUUGAUAAAGUUGUAUUCAACAGCUCUUGAAAAGACUAAGCUGGUCUUCUUUGCAUUUGAUCACUGGUAUUUCAGUUAAGUUUGUCGUUUACUUAAAUUUUUCUUGCUUUCAAUUUCCACUGUUGUUUUUUUUUUAAUAAAAUAAUUUGUUUAACUAGUCAUAGAAAUAAGAGAGAAAAUGGGCCAUUUCUUGACUCAAAGUCAAUUAUAAUUAUCAAAACUUGAGCGGACAUUGCAUGCCUAAAUUCCACGCACCCUAAAACGGUUUGAUUUGCUUUCACGCGUUCAUGAUUUUGCAUGAAAGAGAGUGCCUCUCGUCUCUUUCCGGACAGUGACUACAGUCAUGGAAAAAUUAUGUUAACGUGACGAAUACAAAACGUUAUUACAUACAAGAAUAAGUUUUUGGACCCGAGACUUGAGGGAGGUUCUAUCUAAUUCUAAAGAUUGUAACCAAAGCAUUAUCCCCAAUUUUUUUAAGUUAAAUAAAAUAAAAUUUAUGCUUAAGUAUAAAUAAUUUUUUAAAGUUAAAUAUAAAAUAAAAUUCAUGAACUUCCAAGAAAGAAAGAAGACCCUUCACCUUCUUCGUGACAACAAAUGAUGUUGAUAUGACAAAUACAAGCGCUAGUACAGGGAACAGCAUAAGACCGAGACUUGAUAAAUAUUAAAUAUAUAAAAUAAGUGGAGCAAACGAACAGAAUAAUAGAUUUUUAUAAUAUUCUUCAUAAAAAUCCAAGUUUUGAGCUGGCCCAUAAGCUUAUCUAGUGAAGUCUGGGUAUCCGCGUUGCCCAAGGUUCCGUUUGAAUUCAGGCUGUGCUGAUAUUUAUGACAUCCGACGGAGAGGAAAUAUUUUCAGUUGACUAAAUUAAAUAAAAGUAUAUUAUAAUCAUAUUAUAUAUUAGCAACAAAAAUAAAAAGAAAUGAAGAAAAACGCAUGCAAGACUUAGAGAAGUCAAUUAAAAGAUGGGAGUAUCAUCAGUUCAAUUGGUUAUAAAUAGCGUAGAGCCAUCCUCUCGUUGUUGCAGAAGAGAGACAGAAAGAGUGUGUGUAGGUGAUUAUAAUUAAGAAGAUAUAAUGUGUGGUUCAAAAAGAGUGUGGGUGAGUGAGUUAAUACUCAUAUUAUUAGUAGUAAAAGGGUGGUGGAGUGAGGGAUGUUUGGAGCAAGAGAGGUCUGCUCUCCUCCAACUCAGACAUUUCUUCAAUGAUGAUCAACGUCUUCAAAACUGGGUAGACGAUGAGAAUAAUUUAGAUUGUUGUCAGUGGGAAGGGAUUGAGUGCAACAACACCACUGGCAGUGUGAUUAAAUUAGAUCUAGCACAAACUCGAAAAUGGGAAUCAGCGAAGUGGUAUAUGAAUGCCUCUCUGUUUACUCCCUUUCAACAAUUAGAGUCUCUUGAUCUAAUUGGGAACAAUAUAGCUGAUUGUGUUAAAAACGAAGGUCAUUAAUUUACUCUAUUUUAAUUCUUCCUCCUCGUAAUUUCUUACAUCUAUCUGAUCCCUUUUGGCUUUUGUUUAAUUUGUACGUGAUACAAUAAAAUUAUUUUUUUUCAGGUUUGGAGAGGUUAUCAAGGUUGAACAACUUGAAGUUUCUUUUUUUAGAUGAUAACUACUUCAACAACAGCAUCUUUUCAUCUCUAGGUGGUCUUUCAUCACUCAGACACUUAUCAUUGGCUGUUAAUAGAUUGAAUGGAAGUGAUGAUAUUAAAGGUAAGUAAGCUUCAUCCCUUCUCCCGUGUCCCAUCUUUGUGGAUCUUAUUUCAUCGACCAGCUGGAAGUAUUGAUACGAGAUCUAGCUAGACUCUUGCUAGUUUAAGCUUCAAGGCUUUGAAUAUUAUAAAAAUAGGUUUAAGGAAUUAUCAAUAUAUGCAAUUUUCUAUGCUUCUCAUAAUCAGACACAAUUCAAUCUAAUUAUUUCGUAUGUCCUCUCUUCAAAAGUAAAGAAUUGUACACUAAACGGAAAUCGACAUUGUAGCUUUUUAUUUUUUCUAAUGCUCUUUCUUUGUUAACGAGUUUAUAUCCUGAGAGUGCAUUGGAUUCAAAAAAAAAAAAGUUUUGAUGUUCAAGGUAAGCCAUAAUAACAUGCAUCUUAUUUAUCUGUCUAUAUCUAAAUUUGUGCACUGAAUUUAGUAUUUUAGUUAGUGUGAAGGGAUCAGAUAUUGGCUUCCAUAAACCAACUUGUAUUUACUUAAUUAAUUAAUUAACACCAUUUAGUAUUUAACAAAUUAAAAUUUCGUGUUUAAUUUGUCUUAUUUUUUAUUUUUUGAAGCAAGAAUAAGGUAUAGCAGUAGGUAAAGUUGAAAUACAUAUUUAUUCCUUACAAAUUUAAAUUCGUUUUCAGCCAAAUAUACCUACUUAAAACCACUCAAUCAUGCCAUUGGCAACAGUUUUUUAGGUUUUUCUAGUUAACCGUGUACUUUUUUGCUUAUUAAUAAAAUUCUUUUGUGCUGAGAUUUAAAAUAAAGAAGGAGAAAAUAAGUUAUUUAAUUAACCUUGUUUUAAGUGUUGGCAUAAAUGCAGGACUGAAUUCCUUGAGUAACUUGGAGGAGCUGGACAUGACAGGCAAUGCAAUCGAAAAUCUUGUGGUUCCUAAAGGUAUACAAAAUGUUCAAAUAUUAAUAAUUUGGAGGACAGUUUAAUUGAUUUGAUUAGGGAAUGCCCAAAUGACACUUACCCAAAAUAAUUUAAUCCAAAAUUGUAUCCCAAACAGAUUUCAUAGGUUUGAGGAAGUUGAAUACCCUUAAUUUAGGGGGAAGCGAAAUUCGAAUGAUAGAUGGAAGCAAGGUGUUGCAAUCAAUAGGAUCACUACCGUCCCUCAAAACACUUUGCCUUUCAUAUACUAAUUUUACGGGAACAGUAGUUAAUCAAGGUAAGUAAAUCUUUUAUGUCGAAAAUAAUUGAAUUAAUAUAUAUAGCUAAAAUUUAUUGUUUCUACUUCUUUCUACAUAGAAUUGCACAAUUUCACCAACUUGGAAGAAUUGAUAUUGGGCAAAUCUGAUCUCCAUGUAAGCCAGCUUCUGCCAAGCAUCGCAUCAUUCACUUCGUUAAAGUAUUUGUCAAUGGGAGGUUGUAUACUCACAGGUGCCGUACAUGGUCAAGGUAAAUUAUGGGUAUCUGAAGCUUUUAAAUUUUUUCUUUUAAAUUUUUUAUAUUUUCACUGUCCAAUGGUUCUACCUUCUCUAAAUUGUAGGAUUCUUGAUUAAGGUUAAUGAAAUUUUUGUUCUGUUAUGUUAAGAAUAUUUCGAUCGCUUAGAAGAGUAAAGAAAAAUAAGUAAAUUAACCCAAAAAAAAAAGAAAAGAACAGGACCGGAUUAUCCUUAUUCCCUUGCAUUAUGUGAUCAAUAUCAAAAUUAUAACCAUUUCUUGUUUAUUGCUUGUAGAUUUUCGUAAAUUCAAGAAUUUGGAAAAUCUGGACAUGAAUCUGGUGUAUGUUGACGUCAACACCAGUUUUCUUCAAAUUGUCGGUGAAUCGAUGCCUUCUCUCAAGUUUUUAUCACUGACAGAUUCAAUUCUUAAUAAAAACACCAUUCUUGAUCAAGGUUAAUUAAUGAUUCUCCUUCUCCCUCUCUCGCAUCAUAACUAAAUUUAAUUGAGAAUAUCUAUAAUGCGAGCUAUUUAUAAACUUAAUGAAAGAUGAUAAGGAGCCAUAAUAAUGACAAAAAUAACUGUAAAAUAGUGCACUGUUGUAGUGUUGAUUGAAAAAUAAUGCUAAUUUUUUACUUAACAUUAUAACGCUGUAUAAUUUUACAGUUAUUUUGUUGCCAUUACGUCAGAUUAUACUGUUCAACUAUCAGUGAUCAAACUUAAUUUUUAAUGUGUACUUGAAAGAUAUGUAAUUAUUUAUCUAUGUGUACUGAAGGAUGAAUUAUAUAUUUUUCAGGACUUUGUCAGUUAGUGCAUCUGCAAGAGUUACACAUCGGCGGUAAUGAUUUGAGAGGUAGCUUGCCAUGGUGCUUGGCAAACAUGACAUCCCUUCAAGUGUUAGAUGCCUCUUCUAAUCAACUUACUGGAAACAUCUCCCCAGGCCUUUGUGAGUUGGUGUUUCUAAGAGAGUUAUCCAUUCAUAACAAUGAUUUAAGAGGUAGCUUGCCUUUGUGCAUGGCAAAUUUGACUUCCCUUCGAGUAUUAGAUGUCUCUUACAAUCAACUUACUGAAAACAUCUCAUCUUCCCUCAUGCAUCUAAUAUCUAUGGAAGAGCUCAUAAUUUCAAAUAAUCACUUCUUCCAAAUCCCUAUUUCACUUGAACCACUUUUCAAUCUCUCAAAACUCAAGACUUUCGAUGGUGAAAUAUGCGCAAAAACUGAGUCACAUUAUAAUUCUUUGACCCCAAAAUUCCAACUGACUUCUAUCUCACUAUCUGGUUACAUAGAUGGUGGCACAUUUCCCAAAUUCUUGUACCAUCAGCAUGACUUGAAGAAUGCUGAUCUCUCACACCUUAACUUGAGUGGAAAAUUUCCAAAUUGGUUGCUAGAAAACAAUACGAACUUAGAGACGCUUCUUCUUGCCAACAACUCUCUUUUUGGAUCAUUUCGGAUGCCAAUUCAUUCCCACCAGAAAUUGGCAAUAUUGAAUGUCUCCAACAAUUUCUUUCAAGGCCAUAUUCCGGUGGAAAUCGGAACAUAUCUGCCAGGUUUAACGGAUUUAAACUUAUCUAGAAAUGCUUUCAACAGUAGCAUUCCCUCUUCAUUUGCUGAUAUGAAAAUGUUGAAAAGGUUGGACAUAUCCUACAAUCAGUUGACUGGUGAAAUCCCUGAGCGCAUGGCCACGGGUUGCUUCUCAUUGGAAAUUCUUGCAUUGUCAAACAACAGUUUGCAAGGUCAUAUAUUCUCUAAAAAAUUUAACUUGACAAAUUUGAUGAGGUUGCAGUUGGAUGGUAAUAAAUUCAUUGGAGAGAUCCCAGAAAGCUUAUCUAAGUGCUAUUUGUUGGCAGGAUUGUAUCUGAGUGAUAAUCAUCUCUCUGGUGAGAUUCCAAGAUGGUUGGGUAAUUUGUCAAUUUUAGAAGAUAUUAUAAUGCCCAAUAACAAUCUGGAAGGACCAAUUCCAAUCGAGUUCUGUCAGCUUUAUUUUCUGACGAUUUUAGACCUUUCAAACAAUGCUAUUUUUGGAACCUUACCAUCUUGUUUUAGUCCAGCAUCUAUUGAACAAGUUCAUUUGUCAAAAAACAGGAUAGAAGGACGGUUGGAAAGUAUAAUCCAUGACAGCCCCAAUUUGGUGACAUUAGAUCUCAGUUAUAAUCGCUUACACGGAAGUAUUCCAAAUCGGAUUGAAAGACUACCUAAGUUAAACUACAUUCUUUUGGCUAAUAAUUAUAUUGAAGGCGAAAUACCAGUUCAAUUAUGCCAUUUGAAGGAAGUGCAGUUGAUUGAUCUUUCUCAUAAUAAUCUAUCUGGUCAUAUUCCUCCUUGCUUGGUUAACACUUCACUUAGUGAAGGUCAUCAUGAGGCAGUAGCUCCAACUUCUAGUUUGUUGGGUCAACUGCCUGCCUCACCUCCAUCUGAAUCUGAGGCUGCAAGUGGACCUCCGAUGGGAAAGGAAGAAACUGUACAGUUCACAACAAAGAAUAUGUCCUACUAUUAUCAAGGAAGAAUUUUGACGAGUAUGUCUGGGAUUGAUCUUUCUUGUAACAAACUGACAGGUGAGAUUCCUACUCAAAUUGGAUAUCUUACUAGGAUUCAUGCACUAAAUCUAUCUCAUAACAAUUUGACGGGCACAAUCCCGACAACAUUUUCAAACCUGAAGCAAAUCGAAAGCUUGGACCUCUCCUACAACCUACUGCAUGGGAAAAUCCCUUCUCAGCUCACUGUGCUAACUACAUUGGCGGUCUUCAGAGUAGCAUACAAUAACUUAUCAGGCAAAAUCCCAGAUAGAGUUGCACAAUUUUCAACAUUUGAGGAAGAUAGCUAUGAGGGGAAUCCUUUUCUUUGUGGAUGGCCACUGUCUAAAAGUUGCAAUGAUAGUGGAUUAUCAGCAGUGACACCAGAAGCUUACACUGAAAAUGAAGAAGGUGAUAGUUUAAUUGACAUGGACAGUUUCUUGAUCACUUUUACAGUAUCUUAUGGAAUUGUGAUAUUAGGAAUUAUCGGAGUUUUGUACGUAAACCCCUAUUGGCGGCGAAGAUGGUUUUACCUUGUUGAAGUGUGUAUGACCUCUUGCUACUAUUUUGUGGCAGACAAUCUUGUUCCUAGAAGAUUCUAUGGUGGAUGGAUGUAAUUUCAUUUACUUUACAACUUAUAUGUAAUUUUUAAAGAAUUUUCUUUUGCAUGCAUGGAAUAGCAACUCAAUAAAAGUAUUUGAUGCAAAUUGUCCAAGAACAACUUAGUAAUUUCAUUGCUACUAUUCGGUUGUAUAUAUACAGUUAAUGAAAUUUUUAAUCAUUCGCAGUAGGAAUUUCUUUAGAUGGCGGCCAAAACUAACAGAUUUGGGGCUCUACUUCUACACAUCAUAACAGGCAAAAGGUCUCUCUUUUACACGAUCUGAAUCAUUCAAUAGGUGUCUACUUCUACACAUCAUAACAGGCAAAAGGUCUCUACUUCUACGCCCCCUGGAGUUCUCCAUUAAACUUGACGGUUGAGAUUUCAGGUCCAGAUGAAAGUUAAAUGCAGGCGACGAGACUACACUUUAAGUAAACUGGGACAAACUUAAAAUAAAAAAAACUAUAGUCCAGGGUGAGAGUGAUGGGUAGCUCAACUUAUGGAGGAUAACUAGGACUUGGAAUAACUAUCAGAUUUGCAACUCUUGUAAUAUAUAGUGGGCAUUCAGGUAGCAAUUAUCGCCUUGGGAGUUACCGUAAUCGAUUCAUUUCCUCCUUCAUUUCUGAUGGUAACCCAGCUCUAUACAAGAACAAUAAGAGAAGGUUCCUUUAAGAAAUUUCACAACCCACAAUUUUUUUUUUUCCUUUUUGCCCUGUUCCUCACAAUAAACACACCUAACACACCAAGCCGUGCCCAAAAUAAUCCUAUUUUAUUCAUGUCAUGAAUCCAAAAACUAUCCCAGCUCACUUUGUUUAACCAGCAUAACUAAAUUGUGGGUAUAAAUGAACAGACUUUCGAAGCCUGUAACUUAUAAUAAGCUCAAACCCAAAAAUGACAUUUAAAUCCUGCAAGUGUUUUUCAUCAUCCCUAACAAAAAGAAACAAGAAUAAUUAUAUACCAAUAAUUUUUCCAUAAAAAAUACUGAUUUGAGUUGAAGCACUAUACAAACUGGGUUUUAUUACACUUGCAGAAAGCUACACGGUAGACAAAAUCUAGCAGCUACAUAUUGGUAUCACUUUCAGCUGGUCAUGAAUGGUGUGCAUUCAGCAGUGCACAAUAGACCAUGUCUAUGAAUUGAUUGUCCUAUUACAUAUAAAAGCUGGUCAGAUAUACAAGGAAAAAAAUAAUAAUUGAAAAUGCAUCACAAAAAAUAAGUGUUUCGCAUUAGUGUUUGCACUCUUAAGCAUGGCAAAGUGGUGCAGGGUUCAUGAUUUUGAAGACAAUGAUAAGUGAAAAAUAGUUCAAUCCAUUGAUGAACAUAAAUUUAUUUACAUGUCAAUUUAGAUACCAUCAAAAAGUAAACAGUAAUUCACAGUCACUUAAAAUAGUUGAUAAAAUGCGUGCCAUGAAUGCAUUUUUGUACAUAAGAAAUCCAAAGAGUAUUUCUGACAAUACAAAUAUGCUAGCUUUAAGUCUGCUGUCAAUAUGCAAUUAAGAAGAUUAUACCAGCUGCAUGAUAAAGUUCCCCUAAUCUUAAUAACAAUAAACAUGAACAUGUCAGAUGCAAUUCUAGCUUCGACCAUUUGCAUAACCAGAAAUCCUAACCUGAACAAGCACCAGAAGUGCCUCUCGGACUUUCUCCUUGCUGAUAAAUGGUCCACUGUUCCAAGUAAGAGCAGGAGUAAGAGAUGGUGGAGGGAUUGGUGGUGGAAACGGUUGAAGCACUGGGGCACCAUAUGGGCGUUGUAGACUCAAGGGAGUAUUAAGUGGCAGAGCUGUUGGUGUAGAUGAAGAGACAGGCUGCAUCAUCCCCGCAGAGGAGGAUGGAGGAGGAACAAAGAAUAAGGAAGGCUUUACAAGGUUAGGGGUAGGUGCUGACAGAGGUGGAGAUGGUAUUGCAAGGUUGGCACGAUAGGAGAAGCAACACUGGCGGGAUGAGAAGGUAAAGAAAUAGUUGUAUUGGACUGGUAAGGUUGUGCAGAGAUUGCUGCAUUAGAAGUAUUCCCCACAGUCAAAGCUGUCUGCAAUGAUAAGGACAGAUGUCAUAUACAAGGACAUCAUAGAAGUUGAACCUCACACAAAAAUGAAGUGAUAACAUGUGAAAAUAGUAUAUGACUUGCUGCAUUUUUGUGGUAAUGUUGCAUACUUAUGUAGAAACAUAUUAUUUCAAAGAAAACAUACACUGAAGAAGUUCACAAAAGCAGGAUCUUCAGGAACAUCAACAGCAUUUGAGGGAGUUGACUCUAGAGGACCAUCCAUAACUGCCAUAGUUGGAACAGCUUCCAGUUCCUCAAACUCACUGCAGUUUAACAUAAAAGGAACUUGAUGACCAAUUUAAGUAAUAAUUAGAUGAUAUACGAGGUUAGGGAAAAUGAUGAGUGGACCCUUAUGGAAGGUGAUUUCACCUUAGCUAAACAGGAAAAUAAAAAGAAAUCAAAGCUGAAUCCUCGAGUGCAAUGCAAAGAAUUUUUUCUCUCUUCUCUAACUCCUCUUAUUCAAAAUUGCUCAUCAUUGUGCUGUUCUUCGAGAUUUCGCUAGAGUAGAGAAAGCUAUUCUCCCGUUAAGUGCAGAGGAAAGAGAAGGGCAAAGGCCUGGUAUGAUGCUAUUCUAUAAGAAGUGAGAAAGUGAAGGGCUAAAAUAUUUUGCAAUUUGGAGGUGGUGUUUUUCAGUGUGUGUGCUUCUGAAUUUAUUACCUCUUUAGGAUCCAUAGAAAUUGCCUCUUGUUCAGCAUGCACUGUGCCUACGAGUAAGGCGAGCUUGCAUGGUAUCUAUUGUCUAUUUAUUUGGAUAUUCAAACAGGACUACCAGCAACCAAACACAAAUCCCCAAACAAAACACUCUUUCAAGUGCAAGGAAAGAGUAACUUGGGCAUAUUUAUGGUUCAAGCACUACCAUAACUAAGAAUGUGAUGCUGUCCACAAACACUAUAUCAGUGCCUUUUGAACUACAUCACAUGCUCGAAGACUUUUUUUUUAGUCAUACAUAAAUUAGCUAUAAAAUUAAGACUAUUAUACAACUAAAAAGAAAGAAAAAUUGUUUGCUACUACAUAUCAAAACUGGUAAUAGCAAUGUAAGAUGGCAGACUUCUUACUUAAACAGAUGAGAGGCUGCAAAUAAAAAAUUUGUGCAAAUAAAAUAUAUGAUAAAGAGCAUAAUACUUUCUUGGGGGCUAAAAAUAAUAUACAACUUGUGAAAUAUAAAUUGAGCUACCAUUACCUUUUAGAUGUAGCAACUUUCGACUUUUGAGGCACCUUGGAAUAUGCAUUCAGAAUCCUGCAUUUGGAAGCCAAAUAAAUAAUGUCAACAACAAUUUUACAAUAGAAAAAUUAAAAAUUGAUAAAUGGCAGUUGUAAUUUAUGUAUGUGUAAAGAUAGCAUCACAUCCAGGGUCCUCCCAUAAACAUGCUUGUAACAAGAAUUAGUUUGCCUCAACUGCUAGCAACUAUACAAUAGUAAAAAUCACUCUUAUGAACUCAACAAUACUAGGCACCAAUAAGAGUAUGAUACCGCCAUUCUAAAUGGAAGAGAAUACAACUGUUUUACAACUAUGUCACAUCAGGAGAUAUGCUAGGAGGAUUAAUCCAGAUACCAUCCAACCCAAUUUGGAAAACUCGAGUCAGAAACCAGGAGCUGUAACCAAACCUUACAAUCUUGAAGGAAGAAGGAGACUUGGGGCAUUUUUCCAGAUAGGUGACUUACAAGAUCUCCUGCCAAGAAAAUAUCUAUUGCUUUGAACCUCCAUUGAAAUUUCUUUUCCCUUUUUCUUGUUUUGACUUGGAACUUUCCAGCAUCAUCUAUUUGAUCUUUUUUAAAGCUAAAAUAGCAAUCUAUGGGUUGUCAACAUCUUAUCCCCCCCCCCCCCCCCCUCGGGGGGGCCCCCAAAAAAAAAAAACCAAUGAGUUGUCAAUAAAUAGCACCUACUCAACUUAUGUUCUCCAAUGGAUGACAAUGUGCAAAUCGACCUAGCAGCCACAUUUUUCCCCCCUUUCAACCACCAUUAGGCAACUUUUCUAACCUUUCUUCAUUGCCCACGUCUACAGAACUAUCAUAUAAAGACUACAUUAUUAUUGGGAUAGAGAAUAAAAUACAGACUAUAUUAUUAUUAUAUCUAAUUUUAUGAAUUAACUAGUGCAAGACUUAUUUAGUGUCAAAUCAAGAACUAAUUAGAAAAGACAACUCAUGAUAAUACAGACCUUAAAAGGCAAUAGCUAGCAACACCCCAUAUACUCCUAUUUUAGCCUUCAAUAUCCUGGUAAAAACACAAUUAAGUCUUGCAAAAGAACAUUCACAAGUAAAUUCAACAUUAAUUAAGAUUAAGUAUCUACUGCACCUUCAAUCAAUGACUGGGUGAAUAGCAUGGUCAACCAUCCAGUUCCUGUAGCCCUCCUUGUACCUAUGUUAGUUACAUUUUACAUAUUAAGCCACGAAAAUGAAGGGUCACAGCCUGGUAAAGAAAGCCAUUAAUUAAUAGUUUUUGUUUAAAAAGUUCUCGUUUAGAUCUUUCCUAUUCAAUGAAUCAACGUAAUCCAUGGAGAACUCUUCCAUUUCAAGCAUUGUUUGAAGAUAAUUGGAAAGCCUAAAGAUAGUAUACAAGGACCAAGAUAUCAAUUAGGUCAAAUAGUGAAUGUCAAAUAUAAAAAAUAAAUAAAAGAAGUUGUACAUGAUCAUUUACUAUCAAGUUCUGUAAAAUUGAAAAUACCAUUAUCCCUGUAGAGAUUCUCAAACAACUCUUUAGCAAAUUAUAAAAUAGUUAAAAAAAGAACGAAAGUUUAAAAAAAAAUGUACAACAGCCAUAUCAGGAGAUGUUUUUCUUCUCAAUCUCAAUAUUUUCUAGCCGUAAAACAAUUGAAAAGCUUAACACCAAGUGAAUUAUUAAGAAUUCAUCAUUUAAAUUCCCAAAUCGCAAAAUGUUGGUGCAACUAGGAAAGUGCAAAUGCAAUCACUUUACUAACACAAGAAACAUCAAUAGUGAGAAGCCCACUUUGUAUCAAAUUUGAAACAGAUAGAUAGAGGUCAAAAAAAUUAUAAAGAAACUCAAUUAAAAGCCUUUCAAACAGCUUUUGCAUGCAACAAGAACAAAUCAAAGGCGAUGUGAAUGUAUUCAAAGACUAAUUUACAAUCAUCUACAGGACAUAAAUAUCUUGGAUAACUACUCUCUAUACCUUACUGUCCCACUGAAAAUCAUCAAAUCCCUCCAAACAAAAAUGACAAAAUGGAUAAGAAUUGUCUGGUUAAACUUCAAUAACUUAGCAGCCACAGCAAAAACUUAUGUAGGCACGCAAGCCACUCAAAAUAGUCAUAUUGUUUGCUUUCCAAACAAAAGCCACUUUGUAAUGAAUAUUCAUAAAUUGCUACUACCAUGUUUGUUAAAGCACGUGAAAACCACCAUAACUAACUAAAUGUAACUGAUGAUCAUCAUCAAGUUCAUGGAAUCACAUAUCUGACAGUAUUAAUUAGUGCAAAUGGCAUGCUUCUUAAAACUCCGUAUUUCUCACAUGGGCGCCAUUCCAAUCAACCAAUGAUUCUGAUCUAGUCGGCAUAUUCAACCCACGAGCGAGUAAUACCUCCUAUUGCUUCUUUACAUUUCUCAACGAAAUUCCACAUUCUAACCAUACUUCUGAACUUGUAGCUCCCAUAGACUAAUACAAUAAAAAGAUUUCUUCCCACACCACCUCAGCCCCCACUCCUGAAAAACCAAUUUAAAUUCUCAUUGGCUGUACAACCUAUAGUCCAUACCAAAUUGAAAAAUUUACAAAUAUAGAACCUCAAAGAAUCUUCUUGCAUUCCAUUUUUUACGGCAAGAAAUUUGACUUUUACCACAUGCAAGUCAACAAAUAAAAAAAUCAUGUCUUUGUGAGAUGCACAUUUUCAGACGAAUCUGAAGAGCAAUGAAACCGUAAAAACCGAAUAUGAGAACACCGAGGACUCCAGAUAUCACCUAUAGAAUCUUCGGUCCACACUUGCAUGAUGAAAAUGAUGAAAAAAAAUUGAAGGCUUCGUCACCAGCUCCCCAGGUUGUUUUGUUCUCCUAUCUCCUAAACAUAAAGGAAAUGCAACCUGUUCUUUUUUCCAAUCUUAAGGGGCACAGAACGACUCUGGUAUAAAAUAGUCAGUUUCUAUACAAAAAUAACUCCUUUGCACUUGGCAUUCCACAUCUCGAAAUAAAAAGCAUGCAAGGAGGAGAAUAUAAUAGCAUUAAACAAGUUUUAUUAACCAAACUUCAAAGAUGCCAGGCAAGGCAAAAAAGAAAUCUGUACAAGCCAGAUCCCAAGAAUAAUAAUUCCAAUAUACAAUUCACAAAAACAAUAACUAAAAACAUGUUCAUGAGGCCUCAGCAGAAGCAACAUGUAAUAACCAUACUCUAUUAUUUGAAACACAUUUCCAAGUUUGGUUAAGAUUCUAAACUAUUCUCUAUGUGUCAAUUAUUAACAUGUAAAACAAAAUAAUAUACACUUAAACUACUACAGUAGUAAAACCAGUAAAACAACAAUACCUGCUAAAAAGAUUUGCUACCUCUUCACAUUCACGAGCAUUGUAGAACCAAAUCCCAUUUACUUCUUGGGAUGCAUUCCGAUAUAACAAAUACGGAACCUGAACUUCAAACUCAAAAUCUCCCAAAGGAUUUUCCACUAAAUUAUCUGCACAUAUCCAAGAUAUUGAAGCUUAUCAGUGCAAAAACAUAUGCAAAAAGACAUGAAGGUUAGGAGACAUAACUAAAACUUAGCAACAACUGAAAAGCACAACAAGAAAUGAAAUAUAACAUGAGUUGUAAACAAGAUAGACACGCGGUAUCUAAAUAAUUGUACCAACCCCCUCUCCUGAUUGUCAUAAAACAGCCAAUAUUUAACGCUAGACAACAACAUUGCAAAUACUCUAGCCUCUAUAUUAUUGGCAUAUAAAUAUUUUCGGUUAGGUACAUUAUAUUCUUCGUUCUAAAACCUCAAUUAUUAGCUAGUAGCCUAGUACUGUGAUAAAAUGAUUCAUCACUGAAAUUAAAACUAGUUCACGUACAAAUAAUCAAAACUGAAAUAGAAGCAACGAUAAACCAACCUGUAUUACGUCGAUUCAUCACAACAAACUGAAAUCGAGGCUGUGUGUUCUUGAAAAUUGAAAAAAUAAUAAUUUCACCAACUUCAUAUGUAAUACAAUCUCCAAAAAACCGAAUAUCAAAUGAAAAAAUGGAAAGCAUAAGAGAGAAAAGAAUCUAAUUUUAUUGACCUUUUGACGACGAAGAGAGAUCCUUCAACAUCCUUAUGACUCCAUUGGCUGAGGUCGAUGUUGAACUCGUAGAAGGUGACAUGAGCGGCCGUGAUGAGGAUCUCCUCAAUGAAUGGAUCGAUUCGCUGAAGAACUGUCAGGUUUAGGAGUUUUGUGCUCUGCUGGUCCAGAUUAGCCAUUAAUUUUCCGUUCUGCGACAUUUUUCAUAGUCCUUUUGGGCUCUGCCUCGAGCACAAGCGCCAUGGUUUUUCUGUGAGCUCUCUCUUUUGUAAAUAAAGUGUUUGAUGAGAUAGCCGAGAGAGAGUGAAAGAGUUGAGACUCGAGAUUGAUCUUGCUUUAACUUCUUUCAAACAUUUGGGAAAUAGCAUUUAUUUCUUUCAAAUUCUCUACUUUUUUUUCCUUUAUGUUAUUUAGACCCCAAAAUUAGAUUUAUUAUAAUCAUAUUUUACCCGUACACUAUUAAUCCCUUUUAUUUUAAAUUGUCAAUAUUAAUGUUUCAAUCAUAACUAAUGUGAUAACUCAUCGGUAACUGUAACAUUAACUUAAUUAUUAAUGUUUAUCAUGAAAUGAUGAGAUUAUUAUUCAAAACUUAGUAAACAUCAAUGACUAAUAUAAUAUGACAAUUACAGCUGAAUAUUAGUACAAUAAUUAGGAUUCCUAAAGUUAGUGAAUGUAUUAUAAUAUAUGUGUGUUACACUAUUUUAUGUCUCUCAAAUUCAAUUAAGUAAUUUCAGAGACCUAACCUUUUAUUACAUUAAAUUAAGAAUGUAUACAUGAAUGAAAGAUGUGCAGUUUUUGUUCUAUUUUUCACUAUUAUUUGCCAUUCAUCUACGUACGUCACUUGAUUUUUUGUGAUUAAUAUGCUUAAAUGGAUCUCUUUGAUAUAAAUAAAAUAAACGAAAAGUCUAAGAGAAAAAAAAAAUGAGGACCGAAAUUAUUACACCUACAACAAAUUUGCCCAGAGAGCAAUAAAUCAAACUUGCUUAGGAAGUUCAACAAUGAUUAGUUAAUAACUAAAAGAGCCUUCACCUAACAUGUUAAAGCUUCCGUCAAGCACAAACCCAUUGAAAGCUGUUUAGGUCCGUUUUAGAUCAUCGGAAAUUUGACAAAAUCAUAAAAACCCUCAUCUUAGAAAUUCCAAGCAUCAGGCAAUAGUCCUACUUUAUUGAUAUUGAGAGUUACACAAUAAAAGUUUCGUACAAAUUUUGCAAACGAAAAGCACAUAAUACACUUAACUAGGAGGGAAAAUUAAAGUGUAUAUAUUACAAACUGCUAACAAUAUACAGUAGUAAAAAUCACUCUUAUGAACUCACAAAUACUAGGCACCAAUAAGAGUGUGAUGCAGCCAUUCUAAAUGAAAGAGAAUACAAUUGUUUUACAACUAUGUCACAUCAGGAGAUAUGUUAGCAGGAUUAAUCCAGAUACCUUCGAACCCAAUUAACCAACUCGAGUCAGAAAUAUCUAUUGCUUUGAACCUCCAUUGAAAUAUCUUUUUCCCUUUUUCUUGUUUUGACUUGGAACUUUCCAGCAUCAUCUAUUUGAUCUUUUUUGAAGGUAAAAUAGCAAUCUAUAGGUUGCCAACAUGUUAUUCUGCCAAACCCCACCCCACCCCCUCCCGGGGGACAACAAAUAAUGCCUACUCAAAUUAUGUUUUCCAAUGGACGACAAUAUGCAAAUCGACCUAGUAGCCACAUUUUUCCCCCUUUCAACCACCGUUAGGCAACUUUUCUAACCUUCCUUCAUUGCCCACACCUACAGAACUAUAAUAAAAAGACUACAUUAUUAUUGGGGUAGAGAAAAUAUGCAGACUAUAUUAUUAUUACAUCACAUUUUACUAAUUAACUAGUGCACGACUUAUUUAGUGUCAAAUCAAGAACUAAUUAGAAAAGACAACUCUUGAUAAUACAGACCUUAACAAGCAAUAGCUAACAACAUCCCAUAUACUCUUAUUUUAGCCUUCACUAUCCUAGUAAAAACACAAAUAAGUCUUGCAAACGAACUUUUAUAAGUAAAUUCAACAUUAAUUAAGAUUAGGUAUCUACUGCACCUUCAAUCAAUGACUGGGUGAAUAGCAUGGUCAACCAUCUAGUUCCUGUAGCCUUCCAUGUACCUAUGUUAGUUACAUUUUAUAUAUUAAGCCAUGAAAAUGAAGAACUCUUCCAUUUCAAACAGUGUUAGAAGAUAUUUGCAAAGCCUAAAGAUAACAUACGAGGACCAAGAUAUACACAGAUAGUUUCUUUACGGGACUAAAGAGCUUUUUUAGAUGUUAAAACUGUUUCAAACUGUUUUUCUUGUUUGGUUUAACUAAGGAAGAGCUUGUGGAAGAUUAAAAAUGAUGUUUCCUGUUCUCUGUAGGAAGCUUUUAGGAGAUUUUUUGGGUUUUUUUGAAAGGUUGAAUUGUCAAAAAUACCUUGAUGUUAUUGUUUGCUAAAAGAUGUUAUGGACAACUAAACAACCAACAACAUUUUGUUAAAAGCUCUACUCGUGUAGGAUCUACUUAAAGAAUCUAUACCAAACAGAUUCUUAGACUAAUAACUCGAUCUUAAGUUUGUAAAAUUGGGCUCAGAAUCUCCACUAAGAACCCCGCUUCGGUGAGAAAGCCCAAGCCUGUUACUUUGUAUAAGCUUAUUCUGUAUGUUUGAUUGCAGGAACUGGCCGAUCAUACCGACGAGGUGAGUGUGCAACAUGAGGUGCUUGACGGGAUGUUUACUUUCUAUGAUACAACUAAAGCUAGCCUCAACAUAUAUCAGGUGCCUGCUUGUUUUUACCUUCUAGAUACUAAUAUUGUUUAGACGUGUAAUCUCUCUCUCCAUUGAACGCUAGACGGCUCGUCUCAAGCCUUCUACGUACAUCAGAGUCCUUCUUUAGCUUUUUAUGUAUAAAGUUUUGAUCUUUUUCCUUCAUUUGCUUGAAGCUCAUUACUGCAGAUUUUUUUUACAGGUUGCUAGUGUAACAUUCGACUUGCUGUUGCUUCUAGUGUUGGGAUCGUAUUUAAUUGUGCUUUUCAGCUUUCUUGUCACAACAACUUGGGUAUUACUCUUUCUCCAUAUCAAGCUUGAAGUUCUAAAUUUCAGUUUUAUCUUGUAUUUGAUGUUUUACAGGUUGCUGGAAAUGUGUUUGGUUAAUCAGAAAGAGAGCAAGAAAAUGAAAGAAAUCUAUUUCACUUUUUAUUUAUCAGCAUGAUUACAUUCACAAUGAAUCUAAGCUGCUAUUUAUACUUAAAUGACUACACACGAGAAUCUUCUUGCUAGAUAUUUCUAGAAACUCUACACGCACACUCGCACUGAGCUAGUGGUUACUAAAACCGUUACAACGAUAUUGCCAGCUCAGCAUAACCAACUUAUAACUAACACACUCAGCUGCAGGGGAAACCAUCAAGCUUACUGUGCAUCCUCUGUAAUCAAGCUUCUUUAAGCAUGCUCUGCAGAUCAUACGUCUGAAUUAUCGAAACAAGAUGAAUUAUUUUUUGUUUAUUUCAGCAGGCGAUCUAUGAGCGGAAUUUCUUGCAACAAAAGAUGUGUGUCCACCGGCUUGUAUUCAAUUCGCGAUGGAAUAAGAUCCCUUCAGCUUAUGAGAACUUCAAAUCAACUUAGGUCAUAUUUACACAAGGGCGCACAUGAUAUUAAUCUAAUGGCAAUUAUAUCAUCUAAAAUCCAAAACGAAGAGUCUCCCAUUUUCUUGUUCUCUACUCUGUUCAUAUUAUCAUAAAUUGACGAUUGCAAGGCAGCCGCAGAAAGGGAAUCGGCUUUUGGAAUAGGCGGCAUUUUUUUCAUAUGAAACAUAAAACAAUUUAAUAUCAAUUUUCUUCAGGAGACUGAGCAGAUUGUCUCGCAAGUGGCGCAUCGGUAUUGUAACGUCUGCUGGGUCUUACAUUAUCCACAAAAAUAACUCGUCCAUCUAGUAACUGCAAGUACAUACUUUGAGAUGCUUAAACUCAACAAUAUAAGCAUGGUAAAUUAGAGAAAAAUGAUGCAACUUUACCUUCCCAUUCAUGUCUGCCAAGGCUUUUUGGGCUUCCUCUUCUGUACUGAAAGUCACAUACCCGUAACCUUUUGAUCUAUUCUUACCUUUAUCCAUUAUUAUUGUAGCUGCAAAAAGAAAAGAAUCGGAUAUUAGAAAAUAGUGAAGAGGGAACAGGGGUUGAGACUUAAAAUAGAAAUAGACCAAAUCCUCAGUGACUUGGCCAAACUGUGAAAAAGCAUCAGCUAACAUCUCUUUAGUGGUUGAGAAAGAUACGCCUGCAAAGGAUGCCAGUUAAUUUUAUCAUAAUUAGAUGGUAAGAUUGCAAAUUCUGCAGCCAAAGGUAGUACGGAACUGAAUGAAGGAAAUCAAAUAUGAAUAUGUUUUCAAUCUCAAAAUAUUAAGAGUUACAAGUUCAAGGGAAUCAGAUGAUGGCAUGGUUGAAUUUUAUAAAUAUUUGAUAUUUUGGACCGAACAGGGCAAACAGAUGGAUCCAGAUAAUCAAGAAAAACAUCAAUUCCAUGCAACCAAAUUAGUGUGGGCAAUGCAAUUGAGCAACACUAUAAAAUUAUUCAAAGAAAUCUCUAGGUCAGUAUCCAAAUAUAUGGCUCCGUCCGUUCCACCACCACAACCAAAAAAAUCAGAUCCCCCCAUUUGGAUUCGAUUGAUUAAUUUGAGCAUAUAAAAUCGGGUUUUAAACUUCCCUAAUCAAAAUUUAUAUUCCACAGAAUCAGUUCCUUUAACAUGAUGCAUGACAUAAUAUUUUGUUUGCAAAAUAAAGAAGAAAGAUGACAUAAUAGAAACACUCACAGAGAGAGAAUACCUUCGACGAAAAGCUUCGAAGUGAAUCCUCUGUAAAAUACGAGUUGAGCUGCUGAAUUUUUCAAGUUUGAAUGAGAGACUGCGCCGUUUCUGAAAAUGUUUUUUUCUCAUUAGCGCCGCCAUUUUUGUAAUAGAGGGUAAAGAAAUAAGUAACAAAGUAAGAGGUGAGCAGAAGCGGCCCAAUUUAGUUAUAUGCCAUGUAUGCGAUCAAAAUUGAAUGGUUAAAUGGCAGCCACUGUGUUACAUCUUGUGUACGUAACAAACCGCCUACAUGGGAUCAUUGGAUUCGGGAAUAUGAAAUCCAAUGGAUAAUAUUGAAUUUAACGAAAAAUAGAUUACAGGUUGCAUUAGUCCAAGUUUAUUUCAAACAAACCAGCUGAUGAAAUAGCCGCUAAUCAAAUUUAAAAGGGAAAAAAAAAUCAAAUUAUAGGUUAUAGAUCUUAUUUCCAUCUUAAAUCUGUCUUUCAUGGUGACUCAAUGUGUAUACUAAUUUAUAAUUUGGAUCUAUAUUAGAGCUAAUGCUUCCCUAAAUAUCUAAUGAAAAUUUUCUUUUCAUUUAAUAAUAAAGAAAACUUGCAUUAAAACUAAAAGUACGGUAAUACCUGAUUUAUAAAUAGAUUGCAAUGUAAUUUUGAUAAAUAAAACAAUAAUUUAUGAAAUGGUUAUAACAUAAUUUUAAUUUUUUUUUCAAAAAGGAAAAACAACAAAAGUAAGAAAUAGAGAAUGAGGGCUACAAACUUUGUAUCUUAAACGGCCGUUAGAUUAUUUGUAAAUGAAAGCAACGGUGAGAUAUUGGUGGCUUAUGGAAACAGGUAAUCAUAAGGACUAUGAGUUUUUUUUUUUUUGUUGUUGUUACAUUGAUAUAUUACAAUCAUGAUUCUAUUAAUAUUUACAAUCAGAAUUUUAUCUGACUAUCUUUCAUAAUUCUAAACUAGUACAGCCUAAAUUCCUAUUCUCAUAUAAUAUCAAAGAGAGAUAUAUAUUAUUUUCCUCUAUUAACGAAGAGAUAUUUUUACUUCUAUCAAAUUUAACUAGAACGAGAAUUAAGUCAUUUUCAAUAGUCAGGACUCAGAACUCAUACACGCUAGUUUGAAAGUGUGGGGUGUGACAAUGAGCCAAGAGACCAUUGACAAGUACAAAAGAGUAGUUGCAAUUAAUUCAAACCGCUACACACGCUAUUGCAACCAAAUCGAGGGCCCUUUUUUGUUUGUUUCAUUGAAAAGUAGUUUGCACAAUUAAUUCAAACCGCUACACACACUAUUGCAUCUUUUGAAAAAGAAAAAUGGAAUAGUUUUCCAAGAUUAAUUCAGAGAAUAAGAUUUAAUAAUAAUGAUGUUAGAAAUCUUGAUAUUUGAAUCUUAAUAUUAUGUAUCAUUGAUUUAUUAAAUAAUAGAUUUCAUAGUUUCUAAAAGUAUUUAACCACUUGAUAAAUGUUAUAUUUGUUGGGACUAAAUUAGGACUUAAAUGUUGGAAUAUCUAACAUUGCAUAAAUAAAUAAAAACUUAAUAAUUUAUCUUCACACGACUAAUUAUUUUUACAUCACAACUAACCUUAAUUAUUUUUAAAGUAACAAUAUUAUUAAAUUGCGCUGACUAGUUAUCAAAAGAUGAAAGCAUGUUAAAAUAAGAAAGUACUAAGAAACAUGUGCUUAAACAAAGGUUAAGGCUACGAACAAUUAAGAAGAAACAACUUACAAUCAAAGGUUAAGAUUAUGAACAAUUUAAGGAAGGUAUUGAGCAGAGAAAGGGACGGAAUGGUUUUCUGAAUUGCCGGUGACAAGAAUGUUUGUGUUGUGAAAAGAAAUCCAAUGGUUUGUAAAUGGGUUGAAUUUUUCGCUCGCUUCAAUGACUUGCUUAUGCCCAAUAAAUUACUUUGCACAAUAGUAUUUGGGAUCCUAACAAUCAACUCUUAAUUUGGUCCCAAUAUAUUACUUUAUGAAUGCUUGUGUUGUUUUUUUUUAUAUAAAAUAAUUUAUUUAACUAAUCAUAGAAAUAAGAGAGAAAAGGGGGCAUUUGUUGACUCAAAGUCAAUUACAAAUACAUAACUCUUUCACGCGUUCAUGAAUUUCCAUGAAAGAGAGUGCCUCUCGUCUCUUUCCGGACAGUGACUCCAAUUAUGUUAACGUGACAAAUACAUAACGCUAUUACAUACAAGAAUAAGUUUUUGGAGCCGAGACUUGAGGGAGGUUCUAUCUAAUUCUAAAGGUUGUAACCAAAUCAUUAUCCCCAAUUUUUUUCAGUUAAAUAAAAUAAAAUUUAUGCUUAAGUAUAAAUAAUUUUUUUAAGUUAAAUAUAAAAUAAAAUUCAUGAACUUCCUAGAAAGAAAGAAAACCCUUCACCUUCUUCGUGACAACAAAUGAUGUUGAUAUGACAAAUACAAGCGCUAUUACAGGGAACAGCAUAAGACCGAGACUUGAUAAAUAUUAAAUAUAUAUUAUAAGUGGAGCAAACGAACAGAAUAAUAGAUAUUUUAUAAUACUCUUCAUAAAAAUCCAAGUUUUGAGCUGGCCUAUAAGCUUAUCUAGUGAAGUCUGGGUAUCCGCGUUGCCCAAGGUUCCGUUUGAAUCCAGGCCGUGUAGAUGUUUAAGACAUCGCAUAUGGACGGAGUGGAAAUAUUUUCAGUUGACUGAAUUAAAUAAAAAUAUAUUACAAUCAUAUUAUAUAUUAGCAGCAAAAAUAAAAAGAAAUGAAGAAAAACGCAUGCAAGACUUAGACAAGUCAAUUAAAAGCUGGGAGUAUCAUCAGUUCAAUUGAUUAUAAAUAGCGUAGAGCCAUCCUCUCGUUGUUGCAGAACUGAAGCAAAGAGACUCAGAAAGAGUGUGUGUAGGUGAUUAUAAUUAAGAAGAUAUAAUGUGUGGUUCAAAAAGAGUGUGGGUGAGUGAGUUAAUUUUCAUAUUAUUAGUAGUAAAAGGGUGGUGGAGUGAGGGAUGUUUGGAGCAAGAGAGGUCUGCUCUCCUCCAACUCAAACAUUUCUUCAAUGAUGAUCACUGUCUUCAAAACUGGGUAGACGAUGAGAAUUAUUCAGAUUGUUGUCAGUGGGAAGGGGUUGAGUGCAACGACACCACUGGCAGAGUGAUUGAAUUAGAUCUAGCACUAACUCGGAAUUGGGAAUCAGCAGAGUGGUAUAUGAAUGCCUCUCUGUUUACUCCCUUUCAACAAUUAGAGUCUCUUGAUUUAAGUUUGAACAAUAUAGCCGGUUGUGUUGAAAAUGAAGGUCCUUAAUUUACUCUAUUUUAAUUUUUCCUCCUCGUAAUUUCUUACAUCUAUCUGAUCCCUUUUGGCUUUUGUGUUAAUUUGCACGUGAUACAAUAAAAUUAUUUUUUAUUUUUUAUUUUUUAUUUUUUGGCAGGUCUGGAUAAGUUAUCAAGGUUGAACAACUUGAAGUUUCUUCAUUUAGACAUUAACCACUUCAACAACAGCAUCUUUUCGUCUCUAGGUGGUCUUUCAUCACUCAGAAACUUAUCAUUGGCUGGUAAUGAAUUGGAUGGAAGUAUUGAUAUUAAAAGUAAGUACGCUUCAACCCUUCUCCCCUGUCCCAUCUUUUGUGGAUCUUAUUUCACUGAGCAGCUGGAAGUAUUGAUACGAGAUCUAGCUAGACUCUUGUGAGUUUAGGCUUCAAGGCUUUGAAUAUUAUAAAAAUAGGAUUAAGAAAUUAUCAAUACAUAAUGUUAUUACAUACAAUAAUAGUUCUAAAGAUUGUAACAAAAUCAUUAUCCCCAAUUUUUUUAGUUAAAUAAAAUAAAAUUCAUGCUUAAGUAUAAAUAAUAUUUUGGACAUUCUUGAUAUUUGUCCUUUUAAGAUAAACAGCAACCCAAUUAUCUAUUUGUUUGUCUGUUUAUUUUUUUUAAUAACAGUUUGUUAGCAUAAAUAUUUACCUGUGAAGUCGAGGAGGAGAAAAUGUUAGAAAAAAUAAAAAGAAAAAAAAAUUAAGGGGGAUAGAAUCAGAUUUUCUUUUUUGAGCAAAGAACAUACGUAAAAAGAUAUUAAAUCUAUUAAGUCUAAUUGUCUAUAACGGCAAAUUGCAUAACGAAUAAUUUAUCAGUGUAAAAUAAAUUUUAUUAGAUUCUGAUUAUUUGUUUGAUUUCUUUUCUCUCUGGACUCAACUUAUAUUGUUUAUUUGAUUUGAUUUUAUUAUUUUUUAAAGAAACUUAUUGUUUAUCAAUACUGAAUGGCUUAAGAUUGAUGUCUUGAUAAUAGAUGGGGCAAUAUUGCAUUUUUAAUGCAGUAGACUUUGAAGUUAUCAUUGACAAGCUUAGAUGAAUUACUAGGACCAUAAUACAAAUGUCACAGGCAUCUAAGGCACUUACCAAGUUUUGAGUACAUUCCUGUUCCUAUCUAAUAGUUUUUAAUUUCUUUAAUUUAAGACCCCAUUCAUUAAUAUUUUCUUUAUUGUGAAGUUAAUUUUUUUAUUUGAAAUUAAUUUUUUUUAAAAAAAAAUUUGUUGACUUAUAGUUUACCUUUGUGUUAAAUGUUGGCAAAAUUAUUUUGUCCAAACCAUUGUUUUUGUCCUGAACGUCCAACUAAAAACUGAAUCAAGGGUUAAGUUGUAAGGUUUCAGUUCGUCCGUUAUAUUAAUUUAUUGUUUUAAUAUUAUGCAGUACAAAUAGGUGUAUAAGUCCAUCAUUUAAAUACAAAAUGAAACCACAUCAAUAUAGAAAUUAAAAGAAAAUGAAUUCUCACAACCAUACGGUGAGAUUCAAACUCUCUAUCUCCGAGGAUUUCUUAAAGUUAUUCUUAAAUUAUACUUAAAUGGUUAAAUUUAAUAAAUAAAGGUUUAAUUCUUUUCUCGCACAUUGUAGAAGCAAAUUUUCUCCUCUGUUGAAAAUUCUAAAUAUUUUUUUAAAUUAGGUUUCAACUAUGACAUAUCAGGAGAGAUUUGAUACAUUUCUAAUGCAACUGAUAUAACAACACAACUUUGUGAUUUUUACUAUUCAGGAGAAAAAGAACACAACCUGUAUAACCCAACCGUUUAUAUACAAACAUCGAAUCGCUUUUUAAAAUUAAAUUGGGAAAAUUGGGGAUAUAAUAGUUUUUCAUAUAUAUACAUUUUUUCCUUACAAAUUUAAAUUCAUGGUUGUCAUGAGCUAAAUAUACCUGCUUAAAGCCACUCAGUCGAACCCUUUGAGAGCUGCUUUAAAUUUUUCGGAUUAGCCAUAUUCUUUUCACUGAGAUUUAACAUAAAAAAAAGGAGAAAAUAAGUUAUUUAAUUAACUCUAUUUUAAGUGUUGGCAUAAAUACAGGACUCGAUUCCUUGAGUAACUUGGAGAUGCUGGACAUGAGCGACAAUGCAAUCGACAAUCUAGUGGUUCCUAAAGGUAUACAAAAUGUUCAAAUAUUAAUAAUUUGGAGGACAAUUUAAUUGAUUUGAUAAGGGAAUGCCCAAUGACACUUACCCAAAAUAAUUUAAUCCGAAAUUGUAUCUCAAAUAGAUUACAGAGGUUUGAGGAAGUUGAAUACCCCUUUUUUGGGGGGGGGGGGGGGGGGAGAGGGAGGCAGUGAUAUAUGGAAGCAAGGUGUUGCAAUCAAUAAAAAAAAUUUGUUGGUCAAUAUUCAAGGACUCAUCCAAAGUAAUCGUUAAAGUCUAGAGGUCUGCCCUCCACCAACUCAAACAUUUCUUCAAUGAUGAUCAACGUCUUCAAAACUAGGUAGACGCGGGAGAUGAUGAGAAUAAUUUAGAUUGUUGUCAGUGGGAAGGGAUUGAGUGCAACAACACCACUGGCAGAGUGAUUAAAUUAGAUCUAGCACAAACUCGAAAAUGGGAAUCAGCGAAGUGGUAUAUGAAUGCCUCUCUGUUUACUCCCUUUCAACAAUUAGAGUCUCUUGAUCUAAUUGGGAACAAUAUAGCUGAUUGUGUUAAAAACGAAGGUCAUUAAUUUACUCUAUUUUAAUUCUUCCUCCUCGUAAUUUCUUACAUCUAUCUGAUCCCUUUUGGCUUUUGUUUAAUUUGUACGUGAUACAAUAAAAUUAUUUUUUUUCAGGUCUGGAGAGGUUAUCAAAGUUGAACAACUUGAAGUUUCUUGAUUUAGGCUUUAACCACUUCAACAACAGCAUCUUUUCAUCCCUAGGUGGUCUUUCAUCACUCAGACAAUUAUCAUUGGCUGCUAAUCGAUUGAAUGGAAGUAUUGAUAUUAAAGGUAAGCAAGCUUCAUCCUUUCUUCCGUGUCCCAUCUUUGUGGAUCUUAUUUCAUCAACCAGCUGGAAGUAUUGAUACGAGAUCUAGCUAGACUCUUGCUAGUGCAAGCUUCAAGGCUUUGAAUAUUAUAAAAAUAGGUUUAAGAAAUUAUCAAUAUAUGCAAUUUUCUAUGCUUCUCAUAAUCAGACACAAUUCAAUCUAAUUAUUUCGUUUGUCCUGUCUUCAAAAGUAAAGAAUUGUACACUAAACGGAAAUCGACAUCGUAGCUUUUUAUUUUUUCUAAUGCUCUUUCUUUGUUAACGAGUUUAUAUCCUGAGAGUGGAUUGGAUUAAAAAAAAAAAAAAAGUUUUGAUGUUCAAGGUAAGCCAUAAUAACAUGCAUCUUAUUUAUCUGCCUAUAUCUAAAUUUGUGCACUGAAUUUAGUAUUUUGGUUAGUGUGAAGGGAUCAGAUAUUGGCUUCCAUAAACCAACUUGUAUUUACUUAAUUAAUUAAUUAACACCAUUUAGUAUUUAACAAAUUAAAAUUUCGUGUUUAAUUUGUCUUUUUUUUUUUUUUUUGAAACAAGAAUAAGGUAUAGCAGUAGGUAAAGUUGAAAUAAAUUUUUAUUCCUUACAAAUUUAAAUUCGCUGUUGUCAGCCAAAUAUACCUACUUAAAACCACUCAAUCAGGCCCUUGGCAACUGUUUUUUUAAGGUUUUUCUGGUUAGCCGUAUUCUUUUCUUAUUAAUAAAAUUCUUUUCGCUGAGAUUUAAGAUAAAAAUAAAAAAGAGAAAAUAAGUUAUUUAAUUAACUUUGUUUUAAGUGUUGGAAUAAAUACAGGACUGGAAUCCUUGAGUAACUUAGAGGAGCUGGACAUGAGCGGCAAUGCAAUCGACAAUCUAGUGGUUCCUAAAGGUAUACAAAAUGUUCAAAUAUUAAUAAUUUGGAGGACAGUUUAAUUGAUUUGAUUAGGGAAUGCCCAAUGACACUUACCCAAAAUAAUUUAAUCUGAAAUUGUAUCUCAAAUAGAUUACAGUGGUUUGAGGAAGUUGAAUACCCUUUAUUUGGGGGGGGGGGGGGGGGAGAGGGAGGCAGUGAUAUAUGGAAGCAAGGUGUUGCAAUCAAUAAAAAAAAUUUGUUGGUCAAUAUUCAAGGACUCAUCCAAAGUAAUCGUUAAAGUCUAGAGGUCUGCUCUCCACCAACUCAAACAUUUCUUCAAUGACGAUCAACGUCUUCAAAACUAGGUAGACGCGGGAGAUGAUGAGAAUAAUUUAGAUUGUUGUCAGUGGGAAGGGAUUGAGUGCAACAACACCACUGGCAGAGUGAUUAAAUUAGAUCUAGCACAAACUCGAAAAUGGGAAUCAGCGAAGUGGUAUAUGAAUGCCUCUCUGUUUACUCCCUUUCAACAAUUAGAGUCUCUUGAUCUAAUUGGGAACAAUAUAGCUGAUUGUGUUAAAAACGAAGGUCAUUAAUUUACUCUAUUUUAAUUCUUCCUCCUCGUAAUUUCUUACAUCUAUCUGAUCCCUUUUGGCUUUUGUUUAAUUUGUACGUGAUACAAUAAAAUUAUUUUUUUUCAGGUCUGGAGAGGUUAUCAAAGUUGAACAACUUGAAGUUUCUUGAUUUAGGCUUUAACCACUUCAACAACAGCAUCUUUUCAUCCCUAGGUGGUCUUUCAUCACUCAGACAAUUAUCAUUGGCUGCUAAUCGAUUGAAUGGAAGUAUUGAUAUUAAAGGUAAGCAAGCUUCAUCCUUUCUCCCGUGUCCCAUCUUUGUGGAUCUUAUUUUUAUUUAAAUUGUCUUUAAUUUGUCUUAUUUUUUAUUUUUUGAAGCAAGAAUAAGGUAUAGCAGUAGGUAAAGUUGAAAUACAUAUUUAUUCCUUACAAAUUUAAAUUCGUUGUCAGCCAAAUAUACCUACUUAAAACCACUCAAACAUGCCAUUGGCAGCAGUUUUUUAGGUUUUUCUAGUUAACCGUGUACUUUUUUGCUUAUUAAUAAAAUUCUUUUGUGCCGAGAUUUAAAAUAAAGAAGGAGAAAAUAAGUUAUUUAAUUAACUUUGUUUUAAGUGUUGGAAUAAAUACAGGACUGGAAUCCUUGAGUAACUUAGAGGAGCUGGACAUGAGCGGCAAUGCAAUCGACAAUCUAGUGGUUCCUAAAGGUAUACAAAAUGUUCAAAUAUUAAUAAUUUGGGGGACAGUUUAAUUGAUUUGAUUAGGGAAUGCCCAAUGACACUUACCCAAAAUAAUUUAAUCCAAAAUUGUAUCCCAAACAGAUUUCAUAGGUUUGAGGAAGUUGAAUACCCUUAAUUUAGGGGGAAGCGAAAUUCGAAUGAUAGAUGGAAGCAAGGUGUUGCAAUCAACAGGAUCACUACCGUCCCUCAAAACACUUUGCCUUUCGUAUACUAAUUUUACGGGAACAGUAGUUAAUCAAGGUAAGUAAAUCUUUUAUGUCGAAAAUAAUUGAAUUAAUAUAUAUAGCUAAAAUUUAUUGUUUCUACUUCUUUCUAAAUAGAAUUGCACAAUUUCACCAACUUGGAAGAAUUGAUAUUGUUCGAGUCUGAUCUCCAUGUAAGCCAGCUUCUGCAAAGCAUUGCAUUAUUCACUUCGUUAAAGUAUUUGUCAAUGCGAGUUUGUACACUUACAGGUGCCGUACAUGGUCAAGGUAAAUUACGGGUAUCUGAAGCUUUUAUGAUAUUAAUUCGAUAAUAAUUCUUUCUUUUCAAGUUAAUUUUUUCCCCUAAAAUAAGAUUUUUUUUCUUUUAAAUUUUAUAUAUUUUCAUUGUCCAAUAGUUCUAGCUUCUCUUAAUUGCAGGAUUCUUGAUUAAGGUUAAUGAAAUUUUAGUUCUGUUAUGUUAAGAAUAUUUCGAUCGCUUAGAAGAGUAAAGAAAAAUAAGUAAAUUAACCAAAAAAAAAAAAGAAAAGGACCGGAUUAUCCUUAUUCCCUUGCAUUAUGUGAUCAAUAUCAAAAUUAUAACCAUUUCUUGUUUAUUGCUUGUAGAUUUUCAUAAAUUCAAGAAUUUGGAACAUCUGGACAUGGAUGGGGCGCAGGUUGACGUCAACACCAGUUUUCUUCAAAUUGUCGGCGAAUCGAUGCCUUCUCUUAAGUUUUUAUCACUGACAUAUUUUAGUCUUAAUAAAAACACCAUUCUUGAUCAAGAUCAAGGUUAAUUAAUGAUUCUCCUUCUCCCUCUCUCGCAUCAUAACUAAAUUUAAUUGAGAAUAUCUAUAAUGCCAGCUAUUUAUAAACUUAAUGAAUGAUGAUAAGGAGCUAUUAUAAUGACAAAAACAACUGUAAAAUAGUGCGCUGUUGUAGUGUUAAUUGAAAAAUAAUGCUAAUUUUAUAGUUAUUUUGUUGCCAUUACGUCAGAUUCCAUUGUUCAAUUAUUUAAGUUUUAUGCAAUUAUAUUUUUCAGGACUUUGUCGGUUAGUGCAUCUGCAAGAGUUAUACAUCGGCUAUAACGAUUUGAGAGGUAGCUUGCCAUGGUGCUUGGCAAACAUGACAUCCCUUCAAGUGUUAGAUGCCUCUUCUAAUCAACUUACUGGAAACAUCUCCCCAGGCCUUUGUGAGUUGGUGCUUCUGAGAGAGUUACACAUUGAUAACAAUGAUUUUGGAGGUAGCUUGCCUUUGUGCUUGGCAAAUUUGACUUCCCUUCGAGUAUUAGAUGUCUCUUACAAUCAACUUACUGAAAACAUCUCCUCAUCUCCCCUCUUGCAUCUAACAUCUAUCAAAGAGCUCAUACUUUCAAAUAAUCACUUCUUCCAAAUCCCUAUUUCACUUGAACCACUUUUCAAUCUCUCAAAACUCAAGACUUUCGAUGGUGAAAUAUGCGCAGAAACUGAGUCACAUUAUAAUUCUUUGACCCCAAAAUUCCAACUGACUUCUAUCUCACUGUCUGGUUACAUAGAUGGUGGCAUAUUUCCCAAAUUCUUGUACCAUCAGCAUGACUUGAAGAAUGCUGAUCUCUCACACCUUAACUUGAGUGGAGAAUUUCCAAAUUGGUUGCUAGAAAACAAUACAAACUUAGAGACACUUCUUCUUGCCAAUAACUCUCUUUUUGGAUCAUUUCGGAUGCCAAUUCAUUCCCACCAGAAUUUAGCAACAUUGGAUGUCUCCAACAAUUUCUUUCAAGGCCAUAUUUCGGUAGAAAUCGGAACAUAUCUGCCAGGUUUAAUGGAUUUAAACUUAUCUAGAAAUGCUUUCAACGGUAGCAUUCCCUCUUCAUUUGCUGAUAUGAAAAUGUUGGAAAGGUUGGACAUAUCUGACAAUCAGUUGACUGGUGAAAUCCCUGAGCGCAUGGCCACGGGUUGCUUCUCAUUAGAAAUUCUUGCAUUGUCAAACAAUAGUUUGCAAGGUCAUAUAUUCUCUAAAAAAUUUAACUUGACAAAUUUGAUGACGUUGCAGUUGGAUGGUAAUAAAUUCGCUGGAGAGAUCCCAGAAAGCUUAUCUAAGUGCUAUUUGUUAGAAGGAUUAUAUCUGAGUGAUAAUCAUCUCUCUGGUAAGAUUCCAAGAUGGUUGGGUAAUUUGUCAUAUUUAGAAGAUAUUAUAAUGCCCAAUAACAAUCUUGAAGGACCAAUUCCAAUCGAGUUUUGUCAGCUUGAUUCUCUGAAGAUUUUAGACCUUUCAAACAAUAGUAUUUUCGGAACCUUACCAUCUUGUUUUAGUCCAGCAUCUAUCGAACAAGUUCAUUUGUCAAAAAACAAGAUAGAAGGACGAUUGGAAAGUAUAAUCCAUGACAGCCCUUAUUUGGUGACAUUAGAUCUUAGUUAUAACAGCUUACACGGAAGUAUUCCAAAUCGGAUUGACAGACUACCUCAAUUAAACUACCUUCUUUUAGCUCAUAAUUAUAUUGAAGGCGAAAUACCAGUUCAAUUAUGCCAGUUGAAGGAAGUGCGGUUGAUUGAUCUUUCUCAUAAUAAUCUAUCUGGUCAUAUUCCUCCUUGCUUGGUUAAAACUGCACUCAGUGAGGCAGUAGCUCCAACUUCUAGUUCGUGUGGUCGAGCGUCUGGCUAUGCACAGUUCACAACUUCUCAUAAUACAAGUGGAUCUCCGAUGGGAAAGGAAGAAAUUGUACAGUUCACAACAAAGAAUAUGUCCUACUAUUAUCAAGGAAGAAUUUUGACGAGUAUGUCUGGGAUUGAUCUUUCUUGUAACAAACUGACAGGUGAGAUUCCUACUCAAAUUGGAUGUCUUACAAGGAUUCGUGCACUAAAUCUAUCUCAUAACAAUUUGACGGGCACAAUCCCGACAACAUUUUCAAACCUGAAGCAAAUUGAAAGCUUGGACCUCUCCUACAACCUGCUGCAUGGGAAAAUCCCUUCUCAGCUCACAGUGCUAAAUACAUUGGCGGUCUUCACAGUAGCAUACAAUAACUUAUCAGGCAAAAUCCCAGAUAGAGUCGCACAAUUUUCAACUUUUGAGGAAGAUAGCUAUGAGGGGAAUCCUUUUCUUUGUGGAUGGCCACUGUCUAAAAGUUGCGAUGAUAAUGGAUUAUCAGCAGUGACACCAGAAGCUGACACUGAUAAUGAAGAAGGUGAUAGUUUAAUUGACAUGGACAGUUUCCUGAUCACUUUUACAGUAUCUUAUGGAAUUGUGAUAUUAGGAAUUAUUGGAGUUUUGUACGUAAACCCCUAUUGGCGGCGAAGAUGGUUUUACCUUGUUGAAGUGUGUAUGACCUCUUGCUACUAUUUUGUGGCAGACAAUCUUCUUGUUCCUAGAAGAUUCUAUGGUGGAUGGAUGUAAUUUCAUUUACUUCACAACCCACAAUUUUUUUUUUUCCUUUUUGCCCUCUUCCUCACAAUAAACACACCUAACACACCAAGCCGUGCCCAAAAUAAUCCUAUUUUAUUCAUGUCAUGAAUCCAAAAACUAUCCCAGCUCACUUUGUUUAACCAGCAUAACUAAAUUGUGGGUAUAAAUGAACACACUUUCGAAGCCUGUAACUUAUAAUAAGCUCAAACCCAAAAAUGACAUUUAAAUCCUGCAAGUGUUUUUCAUCAUCCCGAACAAAAAGAAACAAGAAUAAUUAUAUACCAAUAAUUUUUCCAUAAAAAAUACUGAUUUGAGUUGAAACACUAUACAAACUGGGUUUUAUUACACUUGCAGAAAGCUACACGGUAGACAAAAUCUAGCAGCUACAUAUUGGUAUCACUUUCAGCUGGUCAUGAAUGGUGUGCAUUCAGCAGUGCUCAAUAGACCAUGUCUAUGAAUUGAUUGUCCUAUUACAUAUAAAAGCUGGUCAGAUAUACAAGGAAAAAAAUAAUAAUUGAAAAUGCAUCACAAAAAAUAAGUGUUUCGCAUUAGUGUUUGCACUCUAAGCAUGGCAAAGUGGUGCGGGGUUCAUGAUUUUGAAGACUGUGAUAAGUGAAAAAUAGUUCAAUCCACUGAUGAACAUAAAUUUAUUUACAUGUCAAUUUAGAUAUCAUCAAAAAGUAAACAGUAAUUCACAGUCACUUAAAAUAGUUGAUAAAAUGCGUGCCAUGAAUGCAUUUUUGUACAUAAGAAAUCCAAAGAGUAUUUCUGACAAUACAAAUAUGCUAGCUUUAAUUCUGCUGUCAAUAUGCAAUUAAGAAGAUUAUACCAGCUGCAUGAUAAAGUUCCCCUAAUCUUAAUAACAGUAAACAUGAACAUGUCAGAUGCAAUUAUAGCUUCGAGCAUUUGCAUAACCAGAAAUCCUAACCUGAACAAGCACCAGAAGUGUCUCUCGAACUUUCUCCUUGCUGAUAAAUGGUCUGCUGUUUGAAGUAAGAGCAGGAGUAAGAGAUGGUGGAGGGGUUGGCAGUGGAAAAGGUUGAAGCACUGGGGCACCAUAUGGGCGUUGCAGACUCAGGGGAGGAUUAAGUGGCGGAGCUGUUGGUGUAGAUGAAGAGACAAGCUGCAUCAUCCGUGCAUANNNNNNNNNNNNNNNNNNNNNNNNNNNNNNNNNNNNNNNNNNNNNNNNNNNNNNNNNNNNNNNNNNNNNNNNNNNNNNNNNNNNNNNNNNNNNNNNNNNNNNNNNNNNNNNNNNNNNNNNNNNNNNNNNNNNNNNNNNNNNNNNNNNNNNNNNNNNNNNNNNNNNAGAAGGUAAAGAAAUAGUUGUAUUGGACUGGUAAGGUUGUGCAGAGAUUGCUGCAUUAGAAGUAUUCCCCACAGUCAAAGCUGUCUGCAAUGAUAAGGACAGAUGUCAUAUACAAGGACUUCAUAGAAGUUGAACCUCACACAAAAAUGAAGUGAUAACAUAUGAAAAUAGUAUAUGACUUGCUGCAUUUUUGUGGUAAUGUUGCAUACUUAUGUAGAAACAUAUUAUUUCAAAGAAAACAUACACUGAAGAAGUUCACAAAAGCAGGAUCUUCAGGAACAUCAACAGCAUUUGAGGGAGUUGACUCUAGAGGACCAUCCAUAACUGCCAUAGUUGGAACAGCUUCCAGUUCCUCAAACUCACUGCAGUUUAACAUAAAAGGAACUUGAUGACCAAUUUAAGUAAUAAUUAGAUGAUAUAAGAGGUUAGGGAAAAUGAUGAGUGGACCCUUAUGGAAGAUGAUUUCACCUUAGCUAAACACGAAAAUAAAAUGAAAUCAAAGCUGAAUCCUCGAGUGCAAUGCAAAUAAUUUUUUCUCUCUCUUCUCUAACUCCUCUUAUUCGAAAUUGCUCAUCAUUGUGCAGUUCCUCGAGAUUUUGCUAGAGUAGAGAAAGCUAUUCUCCCGUUAAGUGCAGAGGAAAGAGAAGGGCAAGGGCCUGGUAUGAUGCUAUUCUAUAGGAAGUGAGCAGGUGAAGGGUUAAAAUAUUUUGCAAUUUGGAGGUGGUGUUUUUUAGUGUGUGUACUUCUGAAUUUAUUACCUCUUUAGGAUCCAUAGAAAUUGCCUCUUGUUCAGCAUGCACUGUGCCUACGAGUAAGGCGAGCUUGCAUGGUAUCUAUUGUCUAUUUACUUGGAUAUUCAAACAGGACUACCAGCAACCAAACACAAAUCCCCAAACAAAACACUCUUUCAAGUGCAAGGAAAGAGUAACUUGGGCAUAUUUAUGGUUCAAGCACUACCAUAACUAAGAAUGUGAUGCUGUCCACAAACAUAUAUCAGUGCCUUUUGAACUACAUCACAUGCUCGAAGACUUUUUUUUUAGUCAUACAUAAAUUAGCUAUAAAAUUAAGACCAUUAUACAACUAAAAAGAAAGAAAAAUUGUUUGCCACUACAUAUCAAAACUGGUAAUAGCAAUGUAAGAUGGCAGACUUCUUACUUAAACAGAUGAGAGGCUACAAAUAAAAAAUUUGUGCAAAUAAAAUAUAUGAUAAAGAGCAUAAUACCUUCUUGGGGGCUAAAAAUAAUAUACAACUUGUGAAAUAUAAAUUGAGCUACCAUUACCUUUUAGAUGUGGCAACUUUCGACUUUUGAGGCACCUUGGAAUAUGCAUUCAGAAUCCUGCAUUUGGAAACCAAAUAAACAACGUUAAUAACAAUUUUACAAUAGAAAAAUUAAAAAUUGAUAAAUGGCAGUUGUAAUUUAUGUAUGUGUAAAGAUAGCAUCACAUCCAGGGUCCUCCCAUAAACAUGCUUGUAACAAGAAUUAGUUUGCCUCAACUGCUAGCAACUAUACAAUAGUAAAAAUCACUCUUAUGAACUCAACAAUACUAGGCACCAAUAAGAGUAUGAUACAGCCAUUCUAAAUGGAAGAGAAUACAACUGUUUUACAACUAUGUUGCAUCAGGAGAUAUGUUAGGAGGAUUAAUCCAGAUACCUUCCAACCCAAUUAGGAAAACUCGAGUCAGAAACCAGGAGCUGCAACCAAACCUUACAAUCAUGAAGGAAGAAGGAGACUUGGGGCAUUUUUCCAGAUAGGUGACUUACAAGAUCUCCUGCCAAGAAAAUAUCUAUUGCUUUGAACCUCCAUUGAAAUUUCUUUUCCCUUUUUCUUGUUUUGACUUGGAACUUUCCAGCAUCAUCUAUUUGAUCUUUUUUAGAGCUAAAAUAGCCAUCUAUGGGUUGUCAACAUCUUAUCCCCCCCCCCCCCCCGGGGGGGCCCCCAAAAAAAAAAAACCAAUGAGUUGUCAAUAAAUAGCGCCUACUCAACUUAUGUUCUCCAAUGGAUGACAAUGUGCAAAUCGACCUAGCAGCCACAUUUUUCCCCCCUUUCAACCACCAUUAGGCAACUUUUCUAACCUUUCUUCAUUGCCCACGUCUACAGAACUAUCAUAUAAAGACUACAUUAUUAUUGGGAUAGAGAAAAAAAUACAGAUUAUAUUAUUAUUAUAUCUCAUUUUAUUAAUUAACUAGUGCAAGACUUAUUUAGUGUCAAAUCAAGAACUAAUUAGAAAAGACAACUCAUGAUAAUACAGACCUUAAAAAGCAAUAGCUAGCAACACCCCAUAUACUCCUAUUUUAGCCUUCAAUAUCCUGGUAAAAACACAAUUAAGUCUUGCAAAAGAACAUUCACAAGUAAAUUCAACAUUAAUUAAGAUUAAGUAUCUACUGCACCUUCAAUCAAUGACUGGGUGAAUAGCAUGGUCAACCAUCCGGUUCCUGUAGCCCUCCUUGUACCUAUGUUAGUUACAUUUUACAUAUUAAGCCACGAAAAUGAAGGAUCACAGCCUGGUAAAGAAAGCCAUUAAUUAAUAGUUUUUGUUUAAAAAGUUCUCGUUUAGAUCUUUCCUAUUCAAUGAAUCAAUGUAAUCCAUGGAGAACUCUUCCAUUUCAAGCAGUGUUGGAAGAUAAUUGGAAAGCCUAAAGAUAAUAUACAAGGACCAAGAUAUCAAUUAGGUCAAAUAGUGAAUGUCAAAUAUAAAAAAUAAAUAAAAGAAGUUGUACAUGAUCAUUUACUAUCAAGUUCUGUAAAACUGAAAAUACCAUUAUCCCUGUAGAGAUUCUCAAACAACUCUUUAGCAAAUUAUAAAAUAAUUAAAAAAAGAACGAAAGUUUAAAAAAAAAAAAUGUACAACAGCCAUAUCAGGAGAUGUUUUUCUUCUCAAUCUCAAUAUUUUCUAGCCGUAAAACAAUUGAAAAGCUUAACACCAAGUGAAUUAUUAAGAAUUCAUCAUUUAAAUUCCCAAAUCGCGAAAUGUUGGUGCAACUAGGAAAGUGCAAAUGCAAUCACUUUACUAACACAAGAAACAUCAAUAGUGAGAAGCCAACUUUGUAUCAAAUUUGAAACAGAUAGAUAGAGGUCAAAAAAAUUAUAAAGACACUCAAUUAAAAGCCUUUCAAACAGCUUUUGCAUGCAACAAGAACAAAUCAAAGGCGAUGUGAAUGUAUUGAAAGACUAAUUUACAAUCAUCUACAGGACAUAAAUAUCUUGGAUAACUACUCUCUAUACCUUACUGUCCCACUGAAAAUCAUCAAAUCCCUCCAAACAAAAAUGACAAAAUGGAUAAGAAUUGUGUGGUCAAACUUCAAUAACUUAGCAGCCACAGCAAAAACUUAUGUAGACACGCAAGCCACUCAAAAUAGUCAUAUUGUUUGCUUUCCAAACACAAGCCACUUUGUAAUGAAUAUUCAUAAAUUGCUACUACCAUGUUUGUUAAAACACGUGAAAACCACCAUCACUAACUAAAUGUAACUGAUGAUCAUCAUCACGUUCAUGGAAUCACAUGUCUGACAGUAUUAAUUAGUGCAAAUGGCAUGCUUCUUAAAACUCCUUAUUUAUCACAUGGGCGCCAUUCCAAUCAACCAAUGAUUCUGAUCUAGUCAGCAUAUUCAACCUACGAGCCAGUAAUACCUCCAUUGCUUCUUUAGAUUUCUCAACGAAAUUCCGCAUUCUAACCAUACUUCUGAACUUGUUGCUCCGAUAGACUAAUACAAUAUAAAGAUUUCUUCCCACACCACCUCAGCCCCCACUCCUAAAAAACCAAUUUAAAUUCUCAUUGACUGUACAACCUAUAGUCCAUACCAAAUUGAAAAAUUUACAAAUAUAGAACCUCAAAGAAUCUUCUUGUGUUCCAUUUUUUUACGGGAAGAAAAUUGACUUUUACCACAUGCAAGUCAACAAAUAAAACAAUCAUGUCUUUGUGAGAUGCACAUUUUCAGACGAAUCUGAAGAACAAUGAAACCAUAAAAACCUAAUAUGAGAACACCGAGGACUCCAGAUAUCAUCUAUAGAAUCUUUGGUCCACCCUUGCAUGAUGAAAAAAAAUUGAAGGCUUCGUCACCAACUCCCCAGGUUGUUUUGUUCUCCUAUCUCCUAAAUGUAAAGGAAAGGCAACCUGUUCUUUUUCCAAUCUUAAGGGGCACAGAACGACUCUGGUAUAAAAUAGUCAGUUUCUAUACAAAAAUAACUCCUUUGCACUUGGCACUGCACAUCUCAAAAUAAAAAGCAUGCAAGGAGGAGAUAUAAUAGCAUUAAACAAGUUUUAUUAACCAAACUUCAAAGAUGCCACACAAGGCAAAAAAGAAAUCUGUACAAGCCAGAUCCCAAGAAUAAUAAUUCCAAUACACAAUUCAGGAAAACAAUAACUAAAACCAGGUUCAUGAGGCCUCAGCAGAAGCAACAUGUAAUAGCCAUACUCUAUUAUUUGAAACCCAUUUCCAAGUUUGGUUAAGAUUCUAAACUAUUCUCUAUGUGUCAAUUAUUAACAUGUAAAACAUAAUAAUACACUUAAACUACUACAGUAGUAAAACCAGUAAAACAACAAUACCUGCUAAAAAGAUUUGCUACCUCUUCACAUUCACGAGCAUUGUCGAACCAAAUCCCAUUUACUUCUUGGGAUGCAUUCCGAUAUAACAAAUACGGAACCUGAACUUCAAACUCAAAAUCUCCCAAAAGAUUUUCCACUAAAUUAUCUGCACAUAUCCAAGAUAUUGAAGCUUAUCAGUGCAAAAACAUAUGCAAAAAGACAUGAAGGUUAGGAGAUAUAACUAAAACAUAUCAACAACUGAUAAGCACAACAAGACAUGAAAUAUAACACAAGUUGUAAACAAGAUAGACACACGAUAUCUAAAUAAUUGUACCAACCCCCUCUCCUGAUGGUCAUAAAACGACCAAUAUUUAACGCUAGACAACAACAUUGCAAAUACUUUAGCCUCUGUAAUAUUGGCAUAUAAAUAUUUUCGGUUAGGUACAUUAUUUUCUUCGUUCUAAAACCUCAAUAAUUAGCUAGAACUGUGAUAAAGUGAUUCAUCACUGAAAUUAAAACUAGUUCACGUACAAAUAAUCAAAACUGAAAUAGAAGCAACGAUAAACCAACCUGUAUUACGUCGAUUCAUCACAACAAACUGAAAUCGAGGCUGUGUGUUCCUGAAAAUUGAAAAAAUAAUAAUUUCACCAACUUCAUAUGUAAUACAAUCUCCAAAACACCGAAUAUCAAAUGAAAAAAUGGAAAGCAUAAGAGAGAAAAGAAUCUAAUUUUAUUGACCUUUUGACGACGAAGAGAGAUCCUUCAACAUCCUUACGACUCCAUUGGCUGAGAUCGAUGUUGAACUCGUAGAAGGUGACAUGAGCGGCCGUGAUGAGGAUUUCCUCAAUGAAUGGAUCGAUUAGCUGAAGAACUGUCAGGUUUAGGAGUUUUGUGCUCUGCUGGUCCAGAUUAGGCAUCAAUUUUCCGUUCUGCGACAUUUUUUAUAGUCGUUUUGGGCUCUGCCCCGAGCACUAGCCCUCAGGUUUUUCUGUGAGCUCUCUCUUUUGUAAAUGAAGUGUUUGAU